ACGCCAUUCCCCCUCUCCGCCUCCACGCCUCCCGAGCCCAACAAAACCCUAGCUCCGGCGCCGCCACCUCGCCGUCCGGCUCCUCCCGCCUCCAGCAGCAGCAGCAGCAAAUGGCCCGCCCCUCCGCCGCCGUCGUGAUCGCCGCCUUCGUGGCCUUGGCCGCGCUGGCCACCGCGGCCUCCGCCGCCGAUUUGGCGCCGGCCCCCGCCCCGACCUCCGGCGCCGGCGCCCUCUCGGCGCCGCUCUCCGCUGUCUGCCUGGCCGGGCUCCUCGCCGCCUUCCUCCGCCACUGAGCCGGCGGCGGCCGCCUCGCCCGCGUGCGCGUGUCUUCGUCGGAUCUAGUAGUACAGUGGUAGUGAGAGUCUUAUUAGUGGUAGUAGCAGUAUUGUAGUGGUUGUGAUAGUGCCAUGGAGGGAGAGGCAUUUGUUUUGGUGGUCCGCCGGGCGGAUGGAUCUGAGGGUUUCGUGUGGGGAUUUUGAGAGGUUUUUGAGGGUGGAUUUGAUUAGCGUGGUUGGUGUGAGUCUAUUCCUAUUAUUUAGUCGCGUCUUGUGUACCUAGUGCUCACUGGCUCUGAGAGUAUUAUUAUUAUUGUUAUGGAUUUAUGAUAUUAUUAUUAUUGUUAUAUUAUUCUCGCGUAUCAUCUCUGUUCAGUUUCAGUAGAUUUAUGCUUAUUAUCAGCAAAAUUCACUGAAAUUUCAUAGAAGAUCACUGUCGCAAAAUCUUAAAUUCACGGUGUGUUAUGAGACCGAUUCCGUUGGGCAUCUGCCCUGUCCAGACACUGCGAGGUGUAUGGUUUUGGCAUGCCCUGCUGAGAAUCUGAGCAGAUUGAUAUGAUUCGAGAUGGAAUUUUGUGUGUGCGCGACAUGUGUCCCGGCAUGAAGGGAAGGGUAGAAAGCUUGAGACCGAGGCAGCUUAAAGGCUAAGCAAGCACACGCACGCAGUACGUGUGAGCGAGGGAGGCCGCGCCAGAGCGGAGAUGGAGAUGCCUGUACGGCGUGGCCCACCUGUUUGGGCAGCACAUGGGCAGCGGUUGGGGGUUCGUUGUGACCACCUGGCCGACGCCCCCGCCACCCAGAGGAAUAGCUCAAUCGCAUCGCGUUGCCAAGACUUUCCAGAAUUUUCUGCGUGUAUAAUGCGCCCUUCCAUACUUGGGAAUCCUGGGAAUUCCCCCUCCCAAACGACGCUAACCAGAAUACCAAACGACGCUAACCAGAAUAGGAAUCCAUCCACGCUAACAAAGAAAUGGGAAUCCUGAUGUUCCUUGGUACCCAUGAGCUUUCCAGCUGAACUCGUCGACAAAGAAGCCCAUCAGAAAACAAAACGACAUCUAAGCUAGACGCGAACCAUGUUCGGGCCAAAUGCCGGCCCUCUAAGCAUGGCCCAGAACUUAAUUUAUUAUACUCGAUGCUAAAAAUUGCUUUCAAAGAUUAUCCUAAAACAAAGAUAUCCAUCAAGAUAGCAAAAAGUUGAGAAUAUUUCAUCAGAGGGAGAAAGGAAAACAGCCAAACAGGCAUGAAAGAGCCGAUGAACCUGGGGCCUCAACUAAUUAUAAGCCUGAGGUCAGCAACAAUAAACUUGAACUUAUAAUCUUAUUCCUUUCCCUGACGAACUAGGCAUAUCGACAAGAUUAUCUGUUUAUUUGUGACAAGAAUCAAAACAAUUGGUGGACCAAAAAUGACUUUCUUCUCCAAUGGAAGGUCAUGGCAGCACCUAUACCAUAAUAUAGGAACUAACUAAACCGUUCAGCUUGCUUCCCCCCCCCCCCCCCCCCCCCCCCCCCCCCCCCCCCCCCCCCCAGCCUACCUCACGGACAAAAAAGAGAGAAGAUCUCCGAUUAGAAGCUAAUCCAAGUAGAAAAGCGUCACGAUCUUCCGAAGGUUCUUGGCCUCCUGGCAUGUCUCCAUCAGCAGCUUGCUGUCAUGGAACGCGAAGCAGAUCACCUGUUGGAUCUUCGAGAUGAUGUCCAUGUUGCAUAACCUGAAGGUUACAAGAGUUGCCAUUAAGCAUAAAGAUGAUAUUCAAGAAGCAAUACUGAUUUACAGAAAAUGUGACUUGUCUUUCAGUUCGUCAAAUAGGCAAAAAGACAGAUGCUCGUCGUCUAGAAUACAACAGAUAAACCCCAAAAGUUUACGACCUGUCGCCAUAAUAGUGUAGUAUCAACUCUGAAAAAUAAACUACUCUACAGCUACAGAUGCAUACCCUUGGCCCUUGGGCAGACCCCAAUCUAGAGCUAUAGUUCAUGGCGUCAACCUGUCCAAUGCUUGUUUCGCGUAAGUUCUGUAAAUGAGGCAUCAGAUACUCUUGCAGAAUGUACAGAACAUAGUAUUUGUUUUUCAUGGCAUUAUGAGGUUACUAAUAGUAUUCCAACCAUCUAUGUAACAAUCAAUGAGUUAAAAAAAGUGAUGUCGGUUUUCAUCAAAAGCAUAGUCUCUGACAAGUGCUGGAACUAAAUGAUACACUGAUCAGGCAUGGACCGAAUACAUGUAGCGACACCAUUGGUAACAAAAAAUAUACAAUAUAGGAAAAGUAUGAGCAAUUUCGAAAGGUAGCUGACCAACCUGCUAGCCUCAAUCAGUGGCAAAUGGUCAUACUGUGGUUUCUCAAUCAAAUUUUGUACCUACAAAGUAUACAAAACCUUACUGAAGCAUUUUAAAUUUUACCAUAUGGAAAUGGAACAUCAGGAGGAUGCUAUUUAACUCCUGAGGCAUGCUAUUGGAAUUAAUGCAUAUGACAGUGGAUGCCUAAUAAUCUCACUAUCUAGCCAGAAUCCUAGAUCAUAGGAUAAUGCUGAUGUUUUCUGAACAAUUGCAAGCGGGUUCUGGCCUGGUUGGCUAGCUCAUUGUAGAGCGGAGCUAGCAACCGCGGUUUGAAUCCCUGUUUGCACAGAUAUUAAGCCAUCUAAUAUGGCCGGGGGCUAAACCCCUGUAAUCGUUUUUUUUCCUGAAAACUUCAGAUGCCAUGGUGAGACAUUCCUAACCAAAUUGAUCGCAUUGAUUUUUAAGCAUAUUUACAAUCAAGCUUGAUAAAGAUAGCAACAAAACACCCUAAGGAUCCAAAAUUAAAUACAAACUUUCUUAUGUUUUCUUGUGUAAGAACAGAUGUACAACAGAACUGAAGGUUAAUGGUAACAGCAGAAUUAAUUCAGAAGCCUGCAGUGAAAAUAAAUAGAAUGCUCUCUUGGUGAAGGAUGAAUCAGGUCAACUAUUUAUCUUCGUAUUACUCUAUAGUCUAUACAGAAGAGCAUACACAUAACAAUAACGAAGCACAAUGUUCUCCUAAAGAAUGUUUACAUGUAUGGUCAGGGGAUAUCAAACUAAAAAGAAUUGGCUGUAAGACCUAACUCAGAGAUGAUAAUACUGUAGUUUACUGUAAACAAAGUAUCAUCAAACAUCAGUUCAUUGAUAGAAAAACACAACUAAGGAAGCUCAUGCAUUUGUCAUACAACCAGCAUCAUCAUGCCUACACCAAUUUGAAUAUCAUAUAGAUUACAAACAUGAUUCAUACACAAGCAUGGGUACAUCUUCUCCUUUUUCGUGGAGCACUAAGAAAUUCUGCAUAACUUGUCUCAAUAUGCUGAAUUUAAUGCGAUGAGCAGUCUAUCAAUACAAAAUCACUAAAUGCCAGCACUAAAUAUAUAGAACAACAGGUAUAUUGGCGCGCAUAGGAAUCUAUACGAAUAGGUCUGGAACUAAUUUUGACUAGAAAAUGACAAGUCAGAAUAGAAAUAUCAGGAAGUCUUACUUUGGACAACAGUUCUUGGCUUUCAGGAGGUUGCUUCUUUAGACUCUGAGGUAAAAUUACAGUAAGCAACUCUGGCUUUUCAGCUCUUAAAGCGCCCCUGAUAACAGCUGCAUUAGUUCCGGAAGCCCCAGAUGUGAAUAUAUGAUUUUUCUGCAAUUUCUACACAAAUAUUACUAACAAUGCUAGAGGACUCAAAGACCAUAUGAAUGGCAACAUCAAAUAAAUCAGGGAGAUCAUAUGAAUCAGUGAAUCACAGUAGCACAUAAAUAAAGAACAUACUGUUAUGACCAUAGCAUAGCUCAGGAUCUCAAUAAGCUGCUGAUGCAUAUACCCCAUGUUGCGGGUUCCAAAGAAACCUAUUGCACGAGGUCCUUGUUGCUGAAUAGCCAACAGCUCCUGCAUGACCACCAAUUAAAUGAGAUCAGUUUGCAGGAUAAAUCAAUUCAUAAACGCCAUGUAUACAAAGUAGCAUUCAUUAUUGAAAGUCUGAUUGUACUAAACUAACUUUCAGAGGUAACCACUAAAGUUAACUUUGAGUAAACUGAACAGAAAAAAACAAAACACAAUGUAAAAUGAGCAGAAACAUUACCUGUAGGUAAUCUAGAUCAGGGAUCGGCUUGUAUUCUGGUUCAGCAACCAUUGCAGUACCCUUGACAAGAGUCUCUGUCUGAGUAGGAAUCUUUACACCAUCAUCAUCUGGCCCAAACAUAAUAGUAUCAUCUCUUCCUUGACUCCUCACAUCACCUUCAUGCCCAUCUCUUUGCAUGUAUCCGCAGAGCAACUAUACGAGCACAAUAAAAACAGAACCUGGCAGUAAAUCAUUAGUGAAAACCAAAUAUAUUACAUCAUACUAAAUAAAGUUUCCAGUUUUACAAUUUUACUUUGCACCUGUGCUGAUUCUUCAAAGUCAGCUAGCCAUCAAGUAAUCCCAGAUCUAAAGUAACACCAUACCACAACAAGGGCCACAGCAAUUUAGGACACAACCUAAAUUCAGUGAGCGGAUUUGUAUACCCAUUUUAAACCCAACUUUCUGAAGACACAGCAGAAACUUUGAAUAAAAGAUACCAACAAAGGUGACGAGAAUCCCAAGCAUUGGAUUCUGAAUAAAUGUAAAGGGCAGGCUGAAUCCAAUUCAGUGGAGCAUGUAUUUAAAGGGAUCUAGAAGUGUAGCCUUUGAGUUGCACAGUUCACCCUUUAAAGGUAUGCUAAAGAAAAAUAAUACAAACACUUUUGACAUGUAAUGAUAAUAGCCUGCAACAUUUAUCUGCAAAAGAUGAUUAACUUUAUGAAUGGUGCAUAUCUUUACCAUCUAUCAGCCAGAAAGUUCCAUCAAUUGAGGUCGGUCCUAUUCUGAGGCGACCAUGACUUACUCUGCACCUUAGUCCCAACCGCGCACGGUUUGGAUUGACGGGAGCAUAGCUCAGAUGCAGGAAGGUGUGAAUGACAUUAAUAAACUUUAGGCACAGGAUCUAAGCAUCAGCAACACAAGCAGGAUCGCUUGUUACAGUGGACUGUUAAAAUAUCUAAUUUUGACGAACUUUUUCCUUUCCACGGUAAGAAUUUUGAGAUCUCAUUGCACCUAUCAAUCUACCAUGCUAUAUAUUUCUAUUGCAAUUAUGGUGUGACUACAGAGUCUGUAUACUGUAAGUACAGAUCACAGAGGAUUAACAUGCAUGUAAUCUUGAUUUGUGUCGAAUUUGAAGGAAUUAUGAUGGCAACCAAUAUCAAUACACACUCAAUUUGAGACCAUCUUGCAUUCUUGUCUGUCAUUUCUCUCUUUUUCUUAGAACGUGAAAUUACAAUCACCGCAGCAAUCCAAUCAAUAAACAGUUACGAGGAGGGGGAAAUUAUCUUUGGAGGUGAAUUCUACUCCAACCAACCCAUGAUAUCACACAGCGCACACAACAAAACAAGUUUAUAUGUAGGCAAAGUACCCGGUUCAGCCGUGCCACUGCCGGCGGCUGCUUGGUCGCCUGAGCCCAUCCCAGCAAGACGCCGCCGGGGCUCCUCGCGGCCGAGGAACAGUGCAAGAAGCCGCCGAGUCUCAAGUUCAUUCGCGGCGGCGUCCUCAACGAGGGAAGACCGCCAACGGGCGCCGCGGCGCAAGAACCCGCCAUCGUCAUCCGGCCGCCGAUUCCAAUCUACGCAGAGGAGGGAGGGGGAGAACCGCGUGAACUGCUGUGCGUGGCGGCGCUCUCGUGACCAAACCGAGGAUGGCCGCGCGGCGCGGCGCAGGUCAUGUCAGAGGAGGGGGAGGGAAUUGCUGGGUGGGCUGGGGAUGAGACGAGAGAGAGGGAGGGAGGGAGGGAGUGAGACUGGACUGGCUCAAGCCGGUUUGGUCCUCUGGCGGCCUCGCUGGCUGCUGUGGUGCGCUUGUGGGGAGGAGCUGGACGCCUUUGGAUAAAAGGUGGCGCACCACCUUGUUUGCCGUUUUUGCGUGCCUCUUCUCUCGACUCUCGUCUAGUUGUUCUUCUACGUUUCUUAUCGAGAAUACUCUUUCUUAUUUUGAUUUUUUUUGUCAGACUGUUUUAGGGUUUUUAUCUAGAACACCUGGCUUAAGGAUAGGAAAAAAUAAACCCUAUUCCAAAUUUCAGGGUUCAUUACUAUACUACUAUCACAUCUCAAAUUUCAUAUCAAUGAGUAUGCGUGCACUUCUUUUAAAAAUGCAUUUGUUUGUAUUGUUUCAAUCUAAAUCCAUGUGGUUGUGGCUAAGUCAAAGAGUCUAGCAAAGACAAUUGUUAGCCCUUACGCAAUCUUAUGAGUGUCAUUUAUACUGAGUUUUCUAAAAUUAAUGUUAUAUACUCCCUUAGCUCAGAAAUGAUAAUGUAUAUUUGAAAUUGGGGAAAAGUCCUUCAAAGUAGAUUUUGACUCUUAAUUUCUCUUAUAGUAUAAUGUUAAUAGCUUAUAAUGUUAAUAGCUAAAGACUCAAUAUCAUCUCAAAAAGACUUCGAGUAUAAAUAUAUUGAUGCAAAUUUUACACACUAAGUGUGCUUUUAAUUUAACUAAUUACUGACCAAAGUUUGUAGACUUUGAAUUUUCCUUGAUCAAAAUACGCCUACCAUUGGGAGUAAUUACAAACUACAAACAUUGUGUAAUUCAUCUACCAGUCAAGUUGGUAUUCAUUUGUUAUUUGUUUGAAGACUUCGGAAAUUCUGAAUUAUUUAUUUGAAGACUUCGGGAAUUCUAAGGUGACUAACCCUCCCUACUCUUGUUCUGCUUGGCAUAACACUACCUAUUUCUCACUAGUGUCCUUCAAAUCUCAAUUGUUUUCCCACAGUUAAAACACAUGUUCUAAAUCCAUAAACUACUACAUGAUAAAGGUCCACUCCAAGACUGGCAAGGUUUUGACCCAUCUAAUAAUCCUUUCAGUCUUCACUCUUCACAGACAUUCUUAAUGCUUAUAUAUUGAACUGUAGGUUGAAAUAACACCUGGUUCUGUUUGAACUUGAAUAGUUCAAAUUAAGUAUAUAGCACCUAUUGUAAAAAUAUCAAAAUGGAACACCCGGAUAGUUUCGGGCCUGAGUUUGGUCAGGUCUGGUUCAUGAGAAUGUUAGGUCAAGCCUGAGCUACCCAGUUGGGUUAAAUAACAUCUUUAAACCUUCGAAAACAAAUAUUUUAUUUAAAAUCAUUUAUUCAAAUAAACUCAUUAAAACUUAGAUGCACGGCUGCCGCCAGCAUGUGGGCUAGAAUAUUGUAUCCUUAUUUGGAACAGCUUCCCUAUUGCCUACUCCCUCCGUUCCAAAUUAUAGAUCGUUUUAGCAUUUCAAGGUUCAUAGUUUUUACAAUGUAUCUAGAUACAUACUAAUAGUUAUGAAUCUAGAUUUGCCAAAAUAACCUACAAUUUGGAGCGGAGAGAGUAUAUUCCUAGAACAAUUUUUCUAUCAACAAAAAAAUAGGUAUCUUAUUAGGAUGUAGUUUGAAACCAUGCCAAAUUGCAUAUUUCUUGUAGAUGCAAAAAUAAUAUAUUUCAUAUUUCUAUUUUUUUACUUUGUUGUAUUUUCUUUUUAUGUUUGGGGCUCUUUGGCUCUAAUGGAAGAAUAUGUAUUGUUUUGUAAGCCAAAUGUGUGUAUGUGAGUCAAAUACAUUAGUACUAAUGAUGAAUUUUUUGUAUUGUGUUAUGACAUGAAUUUGUUUUAUUGUUAAGAUCAAAUUAAAGGGUAUAAUCUCUUUGCCUCACAUGAAAUUAACAUUAUGUUCUUGUGUUAUUAAUUUGCCUUUGUGGACCAAGCGUAGCUUAAUAUAUUAGGUGACAUAAUCCACCUUGGUUUGAGGCCGAGUCAUAUUUUUCUGGAUUUAAUUUAGGAAAUAAUGAAACUAUGCUUUCGGCGUACGACGUGAGCAACAUGCAUGUCGACAUUGAUGUGUCGUGCUUAUAGUGUUGGGUUUGCAGGGUGAGUAGAAAUGAGAUUAAAAAAUAUACAUUUUCCUUUUUAAUAAGAAAUAAUUUGUUUUUAACCUUCUUCUUCUGUUAAUGGCUCAGUUUAGUUUUUCGAGUUUGGUUGACCCGCGACGAAUGGCAUAGGGACCUGGCAGGACCGUUCUAAGAUUUGGGAAGCCCGGGACGAAAGUAAAACUCGGGACCCUUUAAUAUAAACAUUAUAACAAAUAUAUAUGAAAUGUUACCAAUAAAUAUUAAAUGUAUGUAAAAGCAAUAUUCAUAUCCUUUUCUUUUCCUUUCUCGUUACCUGAUUCAUAUUUUCUUGACGACAUGGUAUCCUACCGUGCAGAAAUUAUUAUAAAUAAACAAUAGUUAUAAAUUAGUUGAGAUUAAAUAACUUGUGAUAGUGAAUUAAUAAUUAAUGGUAUGGGGAAUUGGCAAUUGAAUCACCUGAUCACAUAAGCGAAUUGACGAUCUCCUAUCUGAUCUCUGCCCGUCCGUCGUUGCAUCGAGGGGCGACGGGUGUGCGAUGCGAGCAGGAGAGAGGACCACCGGCAGGAUGAGGUAUUAAGGAUGAGGGGUGCGGUUGAUGAAUCAGGUUCUUGUUUUAACCACGAAGUGGGCCCACCUUAAUGUCACCUUUUACCGUGAACCAUUGUAGGCGGAGCAGUAACAAAUAUUAUCUUUUUCUGAGACCCCACCUUAAUACUAUUUGGAACGUAAGCAAUAUUCAGUCGAUUUUUAUUUCCAGAUCCGGUGAUGUGUCAAAUCCGAUUGAUUUUUUGUUUCUUGUCACUCGAUCUUUCUCUACUGCCCAUUAUUGCUACGUUGCUUCACCCUGUUGGUCUAAAAUUCGACUAACAGCAUCCCAGAUUUUACUCGAUUGUUACAUAGUCAUUCCCCUAUCUCUAUCUUUGUUCACUUAUUUAUAGAAGGGAUCAUGAAAUCCAGAAAUCUGGCCCAGACUAUACACAGAGGUAUAACCUAAUUUAUUUGGAAUACUCACACUGAGCUUUAUUGUUAUAUAUACACCAUGAAAUGAUCAGAUCAACAUGACGUGUGCGUGCUAUAGUCUUUGAAUCUAUGGCGUGCCCGCCGCGUCGCCGCCGAAGAGGCCCUUGUCGAACACCCAGUCCUCGAUCAUCUCCUGCGCGGCCCGCCCCUGCGCCGCCGGCACCAAGUGCCCGGCCCCGUACACGGCCACGUGCACGAGCGCGCCGUGCCUCUGCACGUACCCGGCGAGCCUCCCUCGCCCGCUGCCGCCACCUCUCCGUCUCCGCCACACAGCGCGGGGGGCGUCCCGGAACGCGGCCAGCCCGUCCCACUCCAGCUCCCGCAGCCACGCCUCCGCCGCCACCGGCCCGUCCUGCGCGUCGCGGAUCCCCUCGUAGAGGAGGACGCGCGCCGACGCCCCGGCGAGCAGCGCCUCCACGUCCGGCUUGGCGCUCUUCAUCACGUCGUCGUGGAACGCCGCGUCCACCGCCGGGCUUACCAGCUGCCACGGCGAGCCGCCCUCCGACGCGCGCCGCGCUCCCAGCGCCGCCCUCACCUCGGCGCUGUUCAUGAGCGCCUCGGCCACGGCGGCGGCCCCUGCGAACUCGGCCUCCAGGGACGUCACCACCGCCACGUCGAACAGCGACGCGAGCCCCGUGGCGUUCCGCAGCGACGACAGCAGACGCGCCCGCGCGUCCGACGCCUCGCGCCAGCGCGCCGCGUUGGUCAGCGCCACCGCCGCCGCUUGCAUCGCCUCGGCGUCGCGCUUCUGCUUGUCGUUGAUGAGCCCCAUGAAGUAGGCGGUGUCGGCGUGCGUGGCCACCUGCGCCACGGGGUGGACCAGGCCGUUGCCGAUGGCCACGCCCCGCAGGUUGAUCCGCCGGUGCUCCGGCAGCUCGGGGUUCGUGGCCAGUAUGAGCGAGCCGGCCGCGGGGAUGGACUUACCGGCGUAGCUCUCGCCGGUGAGGAAGAGCGGGCGCGCGCGGAACUCCGCCGGCUGGGCGUCGAAGAAGGACUGGAGCGCGGCGAGGACGUGCUCCGCGACGACGGACUGGUUGGUGGGGAUGGCGGAGGGAGACGGCGCCGAGCUGUAGCCGGUGCCAAGCGGGCUGUCGACGAAGAGGAGCCCGAAGCGGCGGUUCCACGCGAAAGGGUUGGGCGACAAGGGGGCGGAGCUGUUGUUGCGGCCGGCGGCGAAGGUGUAGGGGCCGAUCUGGAAGAAGUUGCUGACGAGGGAGGACACGCCGGGGCCGCCCUCGAGCCAGACGAGGAGCGGCGUGGAGGCCGGCGGGGUCACAGGGUGGGUGGCCUCGUAGAAGGCGAAGUAGAGAGAAGCGUUCGCCGGUGGGAUCGGGAGGUAGCCGGACUUGGUCGGGAGGGCUUCUCUGGGGAACAACGCCGCCGCCGCGGCUGAGCCAUGAAGGGCGGGGGCGAGGAAAAUGACGACGAGGAGGGAAAACGGGAGCGGAGAUGCCAUGGUACGUGUUGCCUGAAUGCUGUUGCGUGCCUGUGCUUGAACGUAGUCUUUCUUACACCAUCAUCAGAGCGCCCUAAAUAUGUUUACGUGGCUGAAAAAUCUCUGAAGCCUAGCUGACAAAAGAAAAGUCUCUCAGACGAGUUUCCAAACACGCGGCGCCACAGUGCAGGUGAGGCAGAAGUUCAAUGCCAGGUGUGCUCAGAUUAUUGAACAAGAACUCAAUUGUUUUGCGUGUGUCAGUCAAGCUCCCAUGCAUUCCCUGUUGGACUAGAAAGGUGAUGAGCUAGUAAUCAGUAGCAAGGUUGACCUGAUGAAUAGUGCAGUAUGCCUGGAUUUGUACAGGGUUCUGGUUUCAUUUUCUCACGACUACAACAAAAGCAAGUUCCAGUCUUCCACAGCCGCUCCUUCCAGAUGGUCGACCGUUCUGGUCAGUGAGAACAAUAUUUCUUCCCUGGUUGGUGAGCGGAGACAACAGCUGGAAGAGCUCUUGAAUCUAAUGCUGGAAUUUUGUAAGUUCUUAACUCAAAUGGGAGGCAAGAAAACAGAGACAGAGCAGAGUACUACAAAGUAGAACUAAAAAAACGACUAACAAGCACUAGCAAUAUUUUGCAACAACUCCCUCCGUUUCAAAUUGUUGGUUGUUUAAACUUUUCUAGAAUUAUAGAUAUUGUUAUGCAUCUAGAUAUACACUAUAUUUAUAUGCAUAAUAAAAACUAUGCACGUAGAAAAAUCAAAACGACUUACAAUUUGGGACAAAUACAAUUUGGGACGGAACGAGUAGCAAACAGCACACGUGCAGCUAUAUUUUUAGAAAAAAAAUGAUCAAUGGAGCUUGAGCUGUCUACAUAUAAUUUUGACUCGAGUUUGUUACGCCAUUGCCUGUACUUUGUACAGCUAUUGUCCAAGACUAGCACUCACAGUAGAUGCCAUGCAUAAGUAGCAAAUAUGAAUUUGAUUUAAUUUGAUUGCUUGCUAAGCACAGCAAGAUGGAGACCAGCUCCCUCGUGAACGAAGUUUUUUCUAAUCCAUUUGUCCGGAUAUAAUCAACAUUUAAUAUCACUUCUUCUGAUUGUAACGGUGCUUCAUUACCUUAAACAUGUACAAAUACUAGUGAGGCGUUCAGAACGAAUCACGUCAUGCCAAAAGAAAAAAAAAUACGGCCUCACUAGUUAAGUAGCAUUGCCAGAUUAAAGCAUUAUGUUACCUUGCUAUUAGUCAAGGUUCACAUGGGUGUGCUUAAACUAGGUUUCUAGGUUACGGUGAGCAUGAUGACAUAUACCAUAAGUUGCAUCGGAGCGCAGCAGCAUUUUCAUUUUCUUGAUUUAAAUACGAUAUCAUAUAUAUAUAUUAAGUUGGAACUAGGCUGAUUUAGAAAAGCCGUUACAAUGGCUAUUUUAGUGCUUGAAAACUAAAGAUUUAGAACUAGGCUGAUUUAGAAAAGAUUGUAUUGUUUACUUACAUUACUCAUAGGUUUAAGUGAACUAGCACAUACAAUGCUUAUGGCUCGAUGAUGGGAAAAAUCCAGUGCAAACUACUUCGGUGGAAACGUGAAAUUGUGAAACCUCCCCUAAAAGCCAUACCCUAAAGUUUCCAAAAAUUAAAAACAAUGUGCAUUCAGAAUAUAUUUAAAGAUUUACUUUGUUGCAAAAAUUAAGAUGCAAAUUUAAUGUAGAAAAAUCCAUACAAAAAUGACAGAAUUCGAAUGCAUGUGCACUAGGAGACAAAAUUUCUAGGCAUAUGUAUUCUAGUACACAAGCACUUGGAACUUUGUCAUUUUCAUAUGAACUUUUACAAAACGAGUUUGCAUCUCAACUUUGCAACAAAGUACAUCUAUGGAUGGAUAUAGAUGCGCAUCGUUUCAAAAAUUUUAAAAACUUCUAUAUAUUUUUUAAGAAGAAUUUUCAUGUUUCCACCGAAGAGGUGAUUUCCACUAAAUAUUUCCACAUAUCUACUCGCAACUUCAUCCAAGUAGAGGGCUGUUACAGAUACCCACCUAGCUCAUACCACCGGAGGAGCUGGCAAAAUUUGGAAGCCCACUACGCCCAUCGUUAAUACAUUUACCACGAAAACCAUAUGCUCCUGGUGAACAGAACAGAAGAUCCUGAGAGUAAUAAACAUAUCGGUUUGAACAGCCAAAUUAAAUUCCUUGGCCGUCAAGCUGGCGAUUCAUCGUCUUCGCGACAGCAAUAAGCAACCGCAGACGAUAAGAACUAUGAACAGGUUUGAAGAACCAAUUUUCCCACAUUAUUUGCUGACUUCAGCAUCGCGCUAAAUAAUACCAGAGUGCACAAUUAUUGAGCAAGCGAUUAUUAUGAAAAGUGCGCAAAUAUCAGAGUAUAUGUACAUCUGAUGAAUAACUUGGCGAAAGGUAAGGUGACCAGCCGAAAAUUCAGCUUCGAUGGCUCAAUCUAUUUGCACCAACUUAUGCUAUCAUUUGCAUUUCAUCAGAAGUCAAUGAAGCAGACAGUAACUAUCUACAGCUCAUCAUGGGUUUUUGCCUUAUCCAGGGUAGAAGCAGGCUGCUGGUGCUCGUGAAGAUAGCGAGCAGCCAUUGCUGCUUGUGCAGCCGCCCCGUAGGGGAGGGCAUCCUCGUUGAUGGUGAAGUAGGGUGAAUGAUGGGGCGCCUGUGGUCCGCGGGUCUCGUUGUACAUUCCCACAAAAUAGUAGUAGGUGGAGGGGAUCGCCUCGGCGUAGAAGGCGAAGUCUUCAGCACCCAUCAGCGGUUGCCUGUCCCUCACAUUCUUGGAGCCAACCAUCUCGCUGGCCACAUUCACGAAGAAAUCAUGGAGCUCAGGGCUGUUGAUGGUUGGGGGAAAGAAAGGGCGGUCCUUGGUGAGGAAGUCCACAGUAGCACUGCACCGCUGCACAGAUGCUUGAGAGACAAUUACCUGGGACAUGAAAGACAGAGAGAAGCUGAGGAUCUGCUGCAGGACAAUCCACAGUGAAAUUCAAGUAAAUUGUUGAAAAACUCUUGAGGGGAAUAGUGGGUAAUUCACACAGAUAAGAUGACUGUCAGAGUUAUGACCAUUGUGACCCGGACACUUCCAUCUGCUGACCUUCCAACACUUACUAGCUAUGAGAAAAUUUGUUUUGCAAGUGCAGUAAAACCAUUACUAAAGUGAAAGCUACAAGGCUGCAGCUGCAAUUUUCAUUAAAGUAGUGUAAAAGGAAAAAAAAAAUCUAUUAUGCAUGCUCAAACAACAAACUACACACGGUCCUGUAUCCAUGCAAUUAACCUUAUUCAUGAAAGAAUAAGAGUCAGGAACUGCUCUUGUGUUCAAGCUAAAAGCAGUACAAUCGAGUAAAGAUGGAGAAUAAGGGAAUGCCCCACAUUUUAGAUGCGCACCAGCUUAUUUGUUUAUCUGGUUGUAGUAUAUAUUUAAAUUGGAUAACAUCCCAGUGCCAGAGGAUGAGGUGACACUUACAAGUACCCAUUUUUCUACAGCUAUCAAUAAAAUGUGCAAAUUCAUCUAUUCAAUAAUUACUACUGUAGUUAGUCAUAGUGAUCUUAACAAGAAGUUCAAGCAGUCAUUUAUUUAACGCAAUUUUGAGUCCUUUUUCUUCCAAGAGAACCUGAUCCGCACAAAAUAAUUAAGAAACUGACUAUUCAGUUACAAUAAGUUCCCAAGUAACUAAUGCUGUUACCUCUUCAAUUCGCUGCUUCAAUUGAUUAAAACUCUCUUUCAAAAAGGCCCGGAAGGUGCCACCUAUUGUUACUGAAUCAGGGAUAACAUUGAAGGCCCCACCUCCUUGAAAUUUUCCAAUUGUUACAACCUGCAGAACAAAGCAUGGACCAAAGGAAACAAUUUAUAUACUGGUUUGUAAAUUUGCCAAAGGUUCAACAUAGAGAAAGUGCUAGUCAGUGCACUGAACAAACUGAUGGGGUCCUGGCCUUCUGGGAGUAACAUAUUGAAUAAACAGCCAAAAUUCAGCUUCAAUGGUCCAAUCUAAUUUUACCUAUUUCUGCUAUCAUUUAAUUUGUAUAUGGAACUAAAAAUUCCUCUAUCAAACAACUUAAGAGUGUAAAACUUAAGUUUUGAAUGUUAUAUAGUAAUGGAUGUGGAACAAUUUGUGCUGCCUAGUUCUAAUAAGUACAGGCAAACUUGGGCUGGCCUCCUGGGUUGUUUCCAUACUAAGAGCAGGAUAAAAAGUUCAACACGAUCUUGACCAAUUUAAAAUAAAUCAUCUACACACAUAGCAAAAUCAUUUUAUAAAAAAUUUUCUAUGCUUGUUCUGCAAUUUAGACCAACAGAACAGUACAUCAUGCAACUUCUGCGGAAGGGAGUUAUGUCAAUCAUACAAAUAGAUAUAGAGAAAGGUUGUCAAGAUCAUGAUUCAUUGCUUGGGAAUUUAUGGCAGGCAACAACAAAUUAAGUCGGUGAAGGGUAAGAUGGUACCUGUGAGUCCAAGGGAUCAGCUUCCCGGGAAACAAGUUGCUGAAGGCUCACAAUAACAUUUGAGGCAGCCAAUAUCGGAUCUAUAGUGUGAUGAGGAAGUGCAGCAUGCCCUCCCUUUCCACUUAUUACAGCCUCAAAGAAUCCACUCCCAGCCAUAAUAGGCCCUGGCCUGGAUGCCAGCACACCAAUAGGAAUAGAGUCAGCUAUGUGAAUCCCAAAAAUGGCAUCAAUAUUUUCCACUGCUCCAGCUUCUAUCAUUUUCUGAGCCCCACCACCACCUUCCUCGGCUGGUUGGAAAACAAGGACUACAGUGCCCUACAGUAAUCAACAUGAUAUUCAUAACCAUUGAAAUUUGUUCUAGGUGAUAAAAAUUCAAUGAUUACAAGUCAAUUCAUAUACUGAUAUGGAGGCAACUGAACUAAGUGAUUCGAUAAGGAGAAUUGCCGAUGGACUAUCAGGAUUAGUUGUGUGCUGUCUAAACAUAAUUACUCGCUUUCCCUAAAAACAGUAAUAUAAGCAAUUGACAAAAAUGCUAAAUCUAUUGCAAAAGGUUGACUAAAGAAAUGAAGUAUAGACGAAUAAAAAAAGGCAGAAAGAAACAAUGUAUUGCAUUUCACAGAUUUAAACCUGAGAUAAAAAGAAUGAACAACUUCCUUAGACUAAAAGAAGCUACCUCUUACAAAAUAUACACCCAUUUUAAAUUACGCAAAAUAUAAGCAAACUACCAAUAGAUAAUAGUAUAGUACGCUCUGCAGUCUUAGGGAUCAAGGAGUUAAAAACUAGGAUUGGGUAAUAGUUAUCAGACAAAUGAAUUUCACUUCUAUAUUUCUUUCAGAAAGAAAAUGCCAAAAAACAGAGUCUGCAUCCUAAUCAUUUUCCAAAUCUCCAAAAGAAGUGAGAACAUGUAGCUUAAUGCAAUUAAAGUAAGGAAAAGAUCGCUAUAUACAAAGUGUUAAGCAUCUUCCAUAGGUUUUCUGAAGGCUAUUCUCUAAUUAUUUAAUUAACACAUCUAUACAAGUGUUAAGCACUUUUUAUAGGUUUUCUGAAGGGUAUCCUCUCAUAAAUCAAUUAACAAAUCUCCCUAUCAUUGGUGGACAUAAAUUUGGAGGUGGCAGGGAUGGUGCACAGGGAUUAUGUCUACAAUACAUAACAGGUGCUACGUAAACCAUGAAAAUCUAUUAUAUGACCAACACAAAAACAAAGUAUCAAAUAAACAAGAUAUCUGUCUCUGGCUGUCUGCUGAAAUGAAGGAUUGGACAUACAAGUAUACAACUGUUGCUAAACCUCAAUACUUCAACAAUUAAUGGUAUAUCCAUAUUUAAAAAAAAUUCUGAUAUCUCACCCAAAGUUUGAAAAUAUUAAUUAUUUCAGAAAUUUUCAUCGCACAAUGAGAAACUUACAAUUUCGCUUUGCUUUAUAACUAAAGAAAAAUAUUUUAACCAACCUUCAACUCAUCACGAUGCUCCUGAAGGAUCUUGGCAGAUCCCAAGAGCAUAGCAACAUGAGCAUCAUGUCCACAUCCAUGCAUUUUCCCAGGAACUUUGCUCUUGUGUUCCCAUUCCACGCUUUCCUGUAAAAAAAGACAUGAAUUUUAACUUGGACAGAUAUAAACUAGUCGUAUCUAACUUUGGGCAAAUGAAACUUACCGCAAUUAAAUUUAUCAAUAAUAAAUAACUGAAAAUUGAUAAUAUGCAUUAUGCAAGGUUUAAAAUUUGGGGCUUAGUACAUUGAGAAGCAGCUCUCCACAUACCGAACAUUAAUCAAUUGGAUCAUAUGAAUAAUAGACCUAUUGCACCAGAAAAAUAUAUAUAUCAAUACAGUUCAAUAAGCACAUCAUAGUUAUGCAAUCUACAUGAAUCACAUAUUUGUCUCAUACUCUCAUCACUAAUCACCACCUGCAACAUGAUUGAAGGCUCACUUGACUGUCACAUAUGCAUAUAGGCAGCCCAUGUGAUUCCUCCCAGUGAGAAGCUAAAGUCUUUUCUCCGUAUGUUCCUAAUUAGGAGGGACAGGUAGCCAGCUAGGGAACUACUUAGGAGUAGGCUGGCACCUGUACCACCCUUUUCUAACCAGGAUGUCUGCCGUGAACUAUAUGCGAUAUUGACAAUUUCCUAGACCAUUUCGAUAUCACACGUGCUGGCCUAGGUGACCCUUGGUCAUUACUUUGUAUUGCUCUGCAACAAAUUUCAAAGAGCAAACAUGUGCACCCUUUCCACUGCAAAGGUUGCGCAAACCCUGGAAGAUUAGUUGCUUUCUGGUGCACCCCAUAAGUUCUUUGAAAUUAAGGUUUUCCUCUUCUCUUAAAUCAAUCCUCAGAUGCCAAAUUUCGCAAUAGGGCCUCCAAUAUACAGGUAGGCCGUUUUAUACCUACCAGGCUAGCAGAGCCUAUUAAGUACGUUGAUUGCAAAUUGACAGCAUUAAAAAUAUCGAACGAAAUGCAGUUUCCACUAUGCAAGCGGCUCCAAAAACAAACCCUUGCCAAACUAGAUGAGCACUACUGAGGACAAGAUACAAUUUUGAAGCUUGUGAUUGUUGUGAUUGGAACGAAUUCGAUAAAUAGACCAAGGACCUCCCGCCUCUAUCUUUAGCAAAACCAAUAUCUAUUUUCUUCAAUCAGCAGCAAAUUCAGGAAGCAGAGGAACCCAAAUAGCGGGCAAGAGCCAGCGCAACCGAAGAAGAAAUCGAAGGCAGCAACAGACCUGCAUCGGUAGCGCGUCCAUAUCCGCCCGCAGCGCGACGAAGGGCGGGCCGCCGGUGCCGACUGUCGCGACCACCCCGGUGACGGCGAAGGGGUGCUUGUAGGGGAUCCCCAUAGCGUCGAGCUCCCGGCGCACGAGCGCGCUGGUCUCAAACUCCUCGUACCCCAGCUCCGGGUUCUCGUGGAUGCGCCGCCGCACCCCGACCAUCCAGUCCGCGAAAUCCGGCUCCUUGGCCCGCCGCAGGAGCCCCGCGGGGUCCUCCAGCGCCGCCGUCGCCACCGAAGGCCAUCCCGCGGCGGCGAGGACGGCGAGGGCGAGGCCCGCCAGCAGGAGUGGCGGCGCAGCGGUGCCCAUGGUUUUUUUGUUGGUUCGGUUGCGCCUUGCGCGGUUGGUUUGCUGGUGAGUGAUGAACUGAUGAUGCGGAGGUCAGGUGAGGAGUGCGGCGGCUUCGCUUUUGACGAGGCAAACGCACACGACACGAGGGCGGCGGCUGAUUUUUGUUUCUUCUCCCAUUUUUUUUUCUUCUCCUUCCUUUUCCCUGCUUCGUGCUACUGCAUUUUUCAUCGCUCUGCUGGGGUGUGCGGUCAUUUCUGCUUUCGACCAAUUUUUCCUUUCUGGGCAGUCUUUUGUUCCGAGACGUUUUGGUUGAUUUGAUGCCCAUGGAAUGUGUCAUCUGAACGGAUGGUUCUUGUCGUUCAGCCAUUUGCAGGAAGAGGUCCUUGUUGCAGAGUGGUUGUGCUGUUGGUUGUCACCAAUUUUGCUUUGAGCAGCACAAUUGGAUAUUGGUCCCAAAUGGACAGCACAGGCCCAAGCCCAACCCAGAUCUAAUUCGCCGGUCCACACCAUUUCUGUUGACUUGUUGAGUGCUCCCGUUGUUUGUCAAUCUCUAUCUCUUCCCUAUCUCUAUAUCCAUCUCUUCUCUAGCUCUAUCUCUACUUAAUUUUAAAGCGAUGAAAGAGAUAGAAAUAUAUGUUGUACUAAUUUUGCGGACCCGACCUAAGCUCCCUGGGCUAAGCCACAGCCCGGCACUUGGCCUUGGAGCGCAUGGAGCCGAUUUUUGCAUGCCCAAAAAACGGUGUGGCCCAACUAAUUAUUUAACUUUUUUUUGAAAAAAGUCCUCUCGUCGUCCCUCAACUAUCAACUAUUGCCGUAGUCUGGGUUUAGUCCCUCAUAUGCAAAAUCGUAUUCGUAGUCCCUCAACUUCCAAAACCAUUUGGCUUUCUUCUCCCUCUCCUUCCUCCUCCUCCCUUCAUCAUCUUCCUUCUCCCUGUAUCCCCGCUCCCCGACGCUCGCCGCUGGGUCUUGGCUGCCCGCAGGUUCCAUGUCUACACCGAUUGACGGAUCCAGUCUCGAGCCGGCCACGCCGCAGUGCGGAGCCUGGCCAUGGCCGCACCAUCCCUUCCGCCCUUAGCGACCGCAGUGCCCCUGACGUCGUCCCAACCUCCUCGCGCCCCUAGGUCACCACCAGGGGCCAAGUUGUGCCGCUCGAGCUAGCUGACCAUCGCCGGGUUGGGGCCGCUCAUGUCUACGUUGGUCGGCGGAUCCAGCUGUGAGCCGGCGAUGCCGCAUGCCAUGCAGCCGCUGGGGUCUAGCCGUGCUUGCGCCAUCCCGGCCGCCUUGCACCCUUGACCACCACCGAGGACUAGUGCGCCGGGUGCUGCUUGAGAAGGGGAAGGAAGAGAGAGGGACGGAGGGAGGAGGAAGAGAGGAGGAAGAAGAAAUUCAUAUGGUAUGUGGAGCCUACCGCCACCUGUUCAUGUGGAGCCUACCGCCACCUGUUCAUGUGGAGCCCACGCGCAAGCCAUGCAAAAUCACCGUCAAAACGAGUGAGGGACAAAAAUAAACAGGUUCAAGAGUUGAGGACUCUGAAUACCUGAUUUUGCGUAUAAGGAACUAAAUCCGAACUACGGUAAUAGUUGAGGGACGUCCGGAGGAUCUUUUCCUUUUUUUUCAACUGAAAUGGUUGGUGGACCGAGCUUGGCCCAAAAAAUUCGAUAGUUCUGGCCGAUAAUUUCUUUUGUCGCCUUCGCCGAUGGCCAGCGCACCGGCGUGCGGCUCUCCUCUCCUCAGCAGCGGUGGCCGGAGAGCCGGACGCCGGUGGUCUCGUGCACGCAGAGGGCGCGGCCUCGGCCCUUGGGGACAUCGUCCCGGUCCUACAACCCCGUCCUGGCACAUGAACACGCCGAGUCCGCAGCCGUCCGCGCGUGAUGCGGUGGCAAAACCAAGCAGGCUCAAGUCCACAAGCGCAGCAGCCAAGAAGAGAGGAUAGCGACCGUAGGAGCAGCGUGCAUGCCGCCCUCGCGUGCCGCGGCUGGCUCGUCAUGACUGAUACGUUCGUUUUCUACUUCAUGCAUGUAUGAUCUGCUGGUAAUUAUCGUCGCAGCACAUUUUGGUCAAUGGUUCUUCUUAUUCGCCUUUGCAUGGUUGGAUGAUGGCGUCGUGAGAAAGCUUCACCAGUUCCAUCUCCAUGCAUGUGUUGCUAGGCAUUCUGUUUUUUUUUCUGCCAUGGAAUGUUCUUGGUUACAAAACUUCCGUUUGCACAUUCCCGCAAGAACAUUAACGUGGUGACUGGUGGGCAAUACCAAAUUUUGCGUAUGACUGAAACGAUUGUUCGCAGCAGCAAUCUGGGACGGAUCUAGCGGUGGGCGGUUGUGGCUCAAGCUCCUCCUACAGCUCCGGACGCAAUGGAGCCUCUCGAGUUCAGCCCCUCCUACAGAGGAAGAAGCGAUAAAAGAAAGCAAAGAAAGGAAAAAAAAGAGAAGUAAAGAAAGGAGACGAGAAAGGGUAAAGAAGAUCCUACAAUGUGCAUGAUGUUUAUGGCUGUAUUUAUUUAACUUGAAUCCGUCAAAAUAAGUUGCCCUGCAAUGUUGCUUUUGCAGAUUUUUGGAUUCGAGCUGUCAGAUUUUUAUCGUAAUACAAGGACAACCUCCAAGCUAUGAUCGAAAUAAGUUUUGUUCGUGUGACAUCAUAUUUACUAAAUCACAGAUUCAUGCGGCGUGGCUGACAUAAUGUGGCAUGGCUUCAUCGAUUAAGUAAAAAUUUGUUGGUAUUUUCCUAGUUAUUAAUAAAAUAUCAUAGCCUUGUGCCCACACUAUGGGCAGGGUGAAACAAAAUUAGAGUAUGAAUUCAAACCGCAUAGCCAUCAAAAUUUAAUUAACUGAAGUUCGUGGACAAUUUAUUUCAUGACCACUAGUACAUGGAUACACAUUUCAUAGCAUAGAGAAAAAUCCUACCGUGCGGAUGCGGAACAACCAUCAACACCACUGCCGCCGGCCCACUCUUUUUAAGAAGUAUAUAAAUAUAUUAAAAGGAGUAAAUAUUAAAAUAAAAUAUUGUCAAAUUUCUGCAUGUUAAAUUUGGCUUUAAUUUAAUUUCCAGCAAAAGAUUUUCCAUUUGGCUCCAGUUUUCUCGAACUACCGUCGCUCGGCUCCGACUCCGACUCCGCCCGUCGGUGGUCCAGCUCCUGGCCACCCACGCCGACAUCAGCGGCCGCGGCGACUGCGGCCGCUUCCUCGUCACGGAGUGCGCCGGGCCGAUGAACCUGCGCCAGCACAUGGAGCUCCGGCGCCGCGAUGGCCUGCCGUUCGAGGAGGGCGAGGUGCGCGACGCCAUGCGCCAGCUCCUCGCCGGCGUGGAGAGCGCGCAUGCAUGGCGCGGGCGUGCUCCACAGGGAGAUCGUCCCGUAGAACGUGGCCGUCGGCCAGGAGGACGUGGUCUCUGACGGAGCGGUCGUCGGGAGGAGGAUGGUCUACAAGAUCUGCGGCUUCGGCAUGUCGGAGCCGGCGGCGCUGGCGGCGGCGGAGAAGGACGACUCCGGGCUGCUGGCGUCGCCGAGCCCGUACCGCGCGCGGAGCCCUUCCUGGCUCCAAGGACUACGACGGGCGGGUCGACACGUGGGGGCUCGACUGCAUCAUGGCGGAGCUCCUCGCCGGCACCGGCGUGCCGUUCUUCGGCGGCAAGCUGGACACCGGGGUCCUCGAGAAGAUGCUGUACGUGGUCGGCGCCAGGGGCAUCGUCAAGUGGCCGGGGCUGGACCGGGUGGCGGCGCACGACCAGGCGGCGCGGCUGCGGAAGCUCUACCGCCGAGACCGCGGCCACCUGCGGCAGGUGUUCCCGAGGGAGGUGCUCUCUCUGGCAGGCUACAAAGGUCUUGAAAGGGCUGCUGCGGAGUCACCCUGAUCGCAGGCUGACGGCCGCGGGCGCCCUCCGGAUGCCAUGGUUCCGGCGCCGUGGCUUGGGUGGCUACUGAGCGGUCUUGUCAGCCAACUAGCCAUGAUCUGAGUGUUCGUAGGGUGGUUGAUUUUUCCCCAAGAUUUGUGUAGCGAGUAGAUAGACGUAAGGCUGUCCGCACUCGUCAUACUCUAUUUCCAUACUUUAUAAGGAAUAUUCUAUUCUAGUCAUCGAGAUUCUCUCCUCUAUAUCAAUUUCUCCGACACCCGUGUUACUCUAUAUCUUAUAUACUCUAUACCAACUACCACAUAUUUUAUUCCCCUCCCUCCCUCUCUCCUUCUACCCAGUCGUUCCCCUCCUCCCCGUCGGCUCCUUCCUCCUCCCUGCUGGCCCCCUCCUCCUCCCCGAUGGUGGCGGCGACGGAUCCAAUGGUGGUGGCGGAUCCGAGCGGAGGUGCGAGGGGGGUGUGGGGGCUGGUGGUGUCGGGAGGCGGGUAACGGACCAUCAGCCCUCCGCUUGGGUAGCGGACGCCUUCCUGCAGUGCAGGGUUUUUUCCACUACCGCGGUACUGGAGGAUCGUUUACAGGGUACCGGUGCGGACAACCUAAUGCUGUGAAAGAGUUAUAAUGAUGUAUGUUAUCCGUCCUGCUAGUAAUGUGACGUUCUUCGUCUUAUCACAAAUACUACAAGUUAAUUUAGGUUUUCAAUUCCCUAAUUCAAAUAUUAUAAACUUUAAUUAGAGAUUUCUAUAAAAAAUAUUCUUGAUAAAAGAGUUGCUGUUAUGAAUUCAUUUCAGAAAAAAAGUUGCUGUUAUGAAAAUAACUUUAUAAUCUGUGCCACUCAGGACUUUAGGGCAGCGCGCGUUCUUUAUUUUGUUGUGGAUCCCUGGGAAGUGAUUUUGCACUGCAGCCUCCAAACGGUAGCCAGUUCAUCGAACUCUGAUAGUUAAAUUUGACCACAGCAAUGGAGCUGCCCUUACUCAAAAUAGCCCACCAAUGCCAUCACCUAUCCUUACACAAAAAGCAAAGGACAUUAUCGAGGAUUAACAGCUAAAAGCAGCAAUCUAGCCCCACGCGAUGCAGGGAUACAAACAGGCCCAAGCUUUUACCAAUCCAUAUUUUAUAAGGCACAUACUACAUACCAUAUUUUUGAUAAUAUCUAACUAAUCCAAACAUGACCUUAAGUCUGACACAUACUCUCUCCAUAAAAAAAUCAAGAGUAAAUUUUAGGACAAAUAAUGAGGUAAAAUAACUUUAUUUGCCUCUAUUUAUUAACUAUAUUUGGUACUAACUGAUACCGUAUGCACAUGCACAUACCAAAUGUGACAGAAUGACUUGUUUUUGAUAAAUUUUGAAUCUUAGAAUGAUUAUUUUUUUGGACGGAGAACGUAUAGUAUUAUGGAGCACCAGGUGAUAAAUCUUGUUUCAUGCGAAAAAUGCAAGAACCAAGACCUAAGCCUCGUAAAAAUAAUCAUUUAGCGAACAAACACAUUAUAAAAAAACGGAUUGACCAUGUACGUUGACCGUAUAGCGCAGUGGAUAUCGCAUUUGACUACGAAUCAGAAGGUCGCGUGUUCAACGCCCACUGUGCCGAAAAUCGUAUGCUAAUGCUACUGAAGAAUUGAACAGAUGAUGAGCUGGCAAACUAGUUCCUGACCAUGAAAAGGCGACGUUUGCAUGCGCAUAAACUUAACAAGAUGAAGAACCAAAACUAAAUUACUCGGUAGUUCUCACCCAAAUAGUAAAAAACUGUCAAUUCAUCAUCUGCACAAGAUUAUAUUUACUCAUAAAUAUGACCGUAGCAUCGCACUAUUCCCGCAUGCCGCAAGAGAUAAUUAUCAAACUGCGCAAAUAUCAGAAUGUAUAUAUAGCUGCUGAAUGACUUGGCGAAAGCUAAGGCUCACCAGCAAAAAUUUCAACUUCACGGUUCAAUCUAAGGGUGCAUUUGGCCGAGCUUUCAGAGCUGAUUCUCUGCUGAAUCUAGCAGGAGUUCUGCCAAACAGUUUUUCAGAGAGAAGUGAUUCUCUAUUGAUUCUGUGAAGUGAUUCUCUGGAAUGAACUAAGAGGCUGGGACUGAAAAAAGUAGCUUCUCCGUGAAGUGAUUCUCCAUCAUUUAUACUAGAGAAUCAAAGAGAAUCACUUUCAACCAUAAAAUCACUUCUUUUGAAGCUCCCAUAGAGAAUCAGAAUCAAAUGGAAUUUAACCAGAAUUCAACAAAGCAGGCAGCAUCUAUUACAGCUUGUCACGGGCUUUCGCCCAGUAUAUAUCUACAGCUCGUCAUUGGGCUUUCACCUUGUCCGGGGUAGCAGCAGGGUGCUCAUGCUCGAGCAGAUAGCGAGCAGCCAACGCUGCUUGCGCAGCCGCGCCGUAGGGGAGGGCAUCCUCGUUGACAGUGAAGUAGGGUGAGUGAUGAGGCGCCUUCGGUCCACGGGUCUCGUUGUACAUGCCCACGAAGUAGUAGCAGGUGGACGGUAUCACCUCAGCAUAGAAGGCGAAGUCCUCGGCGCCCAUCAGUGGCUGCAUGUCUCUCACGUUCUUGGAGCCAACCAUUUCGCUGGCCACACUGACGAAGAAAUUGUGAAGCUCAGGGCUGUUGCUGGUUGAGGGGAAGACAGGGUCCUUGUUCAGGAAGUCCACGGUAGCACUGCAUCGCUGCACGGAUGCUUGAGACACGAUCACCUGGGACAUGAAAAACAGAGAAUAGCUGAGGAUCCUCUGCAGGACAAUCUACAGUGAAAUUUUCUUGAAGUAAAAUGUUGAAGAAAGAGGGGAGUAGAUGAGAACUCAGCACAGAUGAAUGUCAUUUCUGACCAUUGUGACUCAGUCACUUCCGCCUACUAACCUACCAACCUGUAAAAAACAAUGAAAACCUGUUUUCCAAGUGCAGUAAAACUAUUUCUAAGGUGAAAGCUACAAAUCUACACCUGUAAUUUUCACUUCAAUUAAAAUGUGAAAGAAAAACUUCUAAUCUGAGUACUCAAACAACAAAUUACAAGUGAGUCUGUAUCCAUGUAGCAUGUGUUCCAGUAUUGGCAGCACAUGUUCCUUAUCCAUAAACGAAAGUUUCUACGUGAGAGAAUAAGUGUCAGGAACUGCUCUUGUGCUCAAAUCGCCAGCAGUGUACAAUCUAACAAAGAUGGAGAAUAAGGGAAAACACCAAAUUUUAGAUGCGCACCAGCUUCUUUCUUCACCAUAUUCUUGGUUGUAGUAUAUACUUAAAUUAGGUGUCAGCCUAGAGCAUGAGGUGCCACUUACAAGCACCCACAUCUUAAAGCUAUCGAUAAAUGUGCAAAUUGAUCUAUUUGAUAAUUAAAUAUUCUAGUUAGGUAUAGUGACUAGUCAUCUCAACAGCAAGUUCAAGUAGAUAUCUAUUUAAGGCAACCUUUUAGUCCUGUUUAUUUCUAAGAGAGCCUAAUUCCCAGAAAAUAAUUAAAAGAAACUACUUAAAUAGUAAGACAAAGUAUCCAAGCCAAAAUGCCAUUACCUCUUCAAUUCGAUGCUUCAGUUGAAUAAUACUCUCUUUCGAAAAGGCUCGGAAGGUGCCACCUAUUGUUACUGAAUCUGGGAUCACAUUGAAGGCCCCACCUCCUUGAAAAUUUCCAACAGUUACAACCUGCAAAAUAAAGCAUGGACCAAACCAGAAGGAAACGCUUAUGUGCUGAAAUGUAAACAAGAAUAAAUUCCCAAAGUUUAAUAUAGCAGCAGUACUUUAGUAAGUACACUGAACAAACUGAUGGGAUCCUGGGAGUAGCAAUCAAAUAAACAAUUUGUAUAAUUCUUGUGGUGCAAAAUCAAUUUUUGUAUUUGGUACUACGUACAAAUACCUAUAUUGAGCAAUUAAUGAGUGUAAAACUUAAGUUUUGGAAAUUGUAUAAUAAUGGAUACAGAAGAAUAUGUGCUGCCUAGUUAUAACACGUCCAGGCAAAUUAGGGCUGGCCUGUUGGGUAGUCUUCUAGGUUACAUGUUAGUAGCAGGAUAAAAAGUUCAACAAGAUCUUGACAAAUUUCAAAUAGAUCUCCCAACACACCUCAAAUCAUUCCAUAAAAUUUGUUCUAUUCUUGUUCUGUAGUUUAGACCAACAAAGCAGUACAUCACGAAACUUGUAUGGAAGGGAGAUAUGUAAAUCAUAUAAAUAGAAAUAGAAAGAGUCAACCAAGAACAUGCUUCCUUGCUUGGAAAUUUAUGGCAUACAAUAACAAAUUAAGUCGGCCAAAGAUGGGACAGUACCUGUGAGUCCAAAGGAUCAGCUUCCCGUGAAACAAGUUGCUGAAUGCUCACAAUAACAUUUGAGGCAGCCAAUAUUGGAUGUAUAGUGUGAUGAGGAAGUGCAGCAUGCCCUCCCUUUCCACUUAUUACAGCCUCAAAGACUCCACCCCCAGCCAUAUAUAAUAGGCCCUGGUCUAGAUUCCAGCACACCAAUAGGAAAAGAGUUAGCUACGUGAAGCCCGAAAAUGGCAUCUACGUUUUCCACAGCUCCAGCUUCUAUCAUUUUCUGGGCCCCACCACCACCACUUUCCUCAGCUGGUUGGAAAACCAGGACUACUGUACCCUACAGUAAUCAACAAGAUAUUCAUAACCAUAUAAAAUUCGUAGGUGACUAAAAUUCAAAGAUUAAAAAGAUAAUUCAUAACUGACAUGGAAGCAAGUGAACUAAGAGACUUAACCAGGAGAAUUGUCGAUGUGGACUACCAGGUUUAGUCGUGUGCUGUCCAAGCAUAAUAAUUACUUAAAUCAAUUUUUGACAGACUAAACAGUCGUACUCACUUUCCCUACAAACAGAAACAUAAGCAAUUGACACAAGUUCUAAAUCUAUUGCCGAGAUUAAAAAUAUUGAAUAUACUGAUAAAAAAGCAGAGGGAGGUAAUAUAUUGCACUUCAUAGGUCUACCCCUGGGGGAAAAGAAUGACUUUCUAGGACAAAAGAAGCUACCUCUUACAAAAUAUAGCAUCCAUUUUUAAGUUGUUCAAAAUAAAAUAUAAGAAAAAACUACAAGUAGAUAACAGUACAAAACAGUCUUAGUCUUAGGGAUCCAGGAAUUAAAAAGUAUGAUUGGUUAAUAAUUAUUAUAAGAAAAAAUAUCAUUACAAUAUUUCUUUCAGAAAAAAGGUAAAAAAACUGAGGCUGCAUCCUUUUCGUUUGCCCAAAUCCAAAAGGAUUGAUGGUUUUGGCUAAUGCAGUGGAAGUAAGGGAAUGAUCACAAUAUACAAGUGCUAACAUCUUCUAUAGGUUUUGAAAGCUAUUCUCCCAUUAAUUACACAAAUCUCCCUUAUCAUUGCUUGGACAUACAUAACAGGCACUAGUGAACAACUGAACAAUAGAAUUAAUGUGAGGAACCUCAAGUUACACCCAUUUAAUCAAGUCAUCAACCAUUGAUCAACUUAAAUAAAUAAGAAUAACUCCGGUCGUCCUUGAGAUGUGAGCAUUGCCCAGGAUUUAUACACACCUCACAAGCACAACAAGAUGAACACCAUCACAACAUAAGCAUUACACACAUAGUCCAUCACCUUACAUAAAAGAGUUAAAGUCACGUACAUAACAAGUUCAUAGAGUUUGUUGCGGAAAGUUCUAUCAUCGCUCUCAACAUAUGAUACAACACAAAAUAAGAGGGUUAACACUAUAUGCUGAUAGUGCCUUCUCAUAGCCAUGUCCAUCACUUCCUACCCGCACAUCCAUCCGUGGGGAAGAAGUACCCAAAGGCGGCCUCCGGCUGCGGAUCACCUGCAACAACUUAACGGCGGCACCGUGAGUACAAAAGGUACUCCGCAGGUCUUAUCUAAGUAUGGUAUAUACUUGCCCGACUCUCAAGGAGAAUGCAUUUGGUUAAGUAACAAGGAAUGAGAGGGAGAGAGAGCUGCAAGGAGCUCUGGUUAGGCUUGAGACAUGGGCUGAUGUUUGGGGUCCGUGGGGGCGACGUGGCGCAAAAGUUUUGCGCACGCGACACACACCGCAGUGUGCUGGCGGACCGUCCGCGGUUGACGUGGCAAAGGAGUUGAGUGAGUCAUGCUUGACCAAGGUCAACAUGAUGACAUGUAUGGCGGACCGUCCGGCCCCCAUGGGCGGACUAUCCGCAGGUACCCAAAGAAAGCAUCAACUUUUAUUAUUUGCAACUUAAUUUAAUGCUUAAUGAUGCUCAUGAUGACAUGCUUAACUUAAACAAGAUUAAGGCCUUUACGAUUAAUCUAAUACCACCAAAAAUAUGCACCAAAACUAUGUCCCCUGGAAGGAAGGAUUGCACAUCCAACUGUUGCUAAACCAUUUACGAUUUAUUCAUAUUUAAAUUCAAAUUCAGAUAUCUCACUCAAAGUUUGAAUAGAGAACGUCAAAUAUUUCAGAACUUUUAAUUAUACAAUAAGAAAUUCUCAUUGCUUUAUAACUAAAUAAAAAAUAUUUCAACCAACCUUCAACUCAUCAUGAUGCUCCUGAAGAACCUUGGCACAUCCCAACAGCAUAGCAACAUUUGCAUCAUGUCCACAUCCAUGCAUCUUCUCAGGAACUUUGCUCUUGUGCUCCCAUUCCACGCUUUCCUGUAAAACAAGACAUCAAUUUUAACUAAUGGGAAUACAGAAUAAUUGUACUUCAGAAUCCAGAUUGGGCUACCAGAGUUUACCACUAUUAAAUUGCUUGACAGGUUGCACAAACACUAGAAAUCUAAUUGCUUUCCGGUGUACAGCACAAGUACUUUUAAUCUAUGGUUUCCCUGAACUCAAUCCUCAAUAGUCAAAUUUUGCAAUGACCACCGGAAUACAAGUAUAUUUAAAAGAACUCAGAGGUGCGGAAGAACUUUGAUGGAGCGGCGUACCUUUUCCGUGCAUCAGCUGCGUGUUUAUAUAGGCGAGGAAAAUCCCCUCGCAUGGAGUUACAAUCGGAUCACAAGUUGGUUGGGAUGGGCACUACCUUGGAGUCCAAGCUAAAUACAUAACCUAUCUAUUGUUACAACAAACAAACCUUUACAGAUAAGUCGAUCCCAUCUCAACUGAUCACCUUAAACAAUACAAUGUCGAUAUCUCGUAUAUACUUCUAAUAGCCCCUCUCAAUCAUAACUGAGCUAGGUUAAGAUUGUGCUUGAAGUUCUCCAAUUUCUUAACAGAAAGAGCUUUUGUAAAACCAUCUGCCACUUGAUCUCAUGUCGGCACAUAAUCAAUCUCGAAUAACCUUUGAUUCCUUAUCUUACAAAAUGAUAUUCUACUUCAAUAUGCUUUGUUCUAGCAUGAAAGACAGGAUUAGCAGAAAGAUACUUAGCUCCAAUGUUAUCACACCAUAUCCUUGCAGCCGCUGGAUAGGAACUCCUAUCUCCUUAAGUAAGGUUUGUAUUCACAUAAUCUCAGCAGUGGCAUUUGCUACAGCCUUGUAUUCCACUUCUGUGCUCGAUCUAGACAUUAUCUAUUGUUUGCGAGCACUCCAAGAAACUAAAUUACAACAAAAAAAAAAUCACAAAGCCUCCAGUAGACCUUCUGUCAUCUAGACAACCUGCCCAAUCUGCAUCAGAAAAACCGCUGACAAGCAUGGACUUAGACGUAUGAAUGUUCAGCCCAAUUUUCGUACACUGCUUGAGGUAUCUCAAAAUACGCUUGACAGUUGCCCAAUACACGGUUGUAGGAGCAUGCAAAUAUUGGCACACUUUAUUUACAGGAAAUGCAAUAUCUGGUCUAGUGAGCGUCAAGUAUUGCAAAGCCUCUACUAUACUUCUAUAUCUUUUAAGUAAAUCAUACGCAUAUUUGUCUUGAGUAAGAAUAAUUCCAUCACAAACCUUGCUGACUUCUAUGCCCAAGAAAUAAUGAAGCUCCCCCAAAUCCUUCAAUGAAAAUUCUUGCUCAAGACUGUGUAGGAGCUUCUCAGUUACACCUUGAACAGAACUUGCUACUAUGAUGUCAUCAACAUAAAUUAGCAAAAAUAUUGUCACACCGUUAGUGUUAAAAUAAAACAAUGAUGUGUCUGCCUUUGAGGACUUAAACCCAAGACUGUAUAGCUUCGCACUUAGUCGAGAAUACCAUGCCCUUGGAGCUUGUUUCAACCCAUAAAGAGCCUUGUCCAACUUACACACAUAAUUAGGCAUGGUCUUGUCUUCAUAACCUGGAGGUUGUCUCAUGUAGACUUCUUCCUCUAGUAUUCCAUGAAGAAAGGCAUUUGUACAUCGAGCUGUCGUAGACUCUACCCUUGUGAAAUAGCAAUAGAUAAAACAGUUCUGAUGGUUGCAGCCUUAACAACAGGACUAAAGGUAUCUUCAUAAUCUACCCCAUAUCUCUGCUUAAAGCCUUUAGCCACUAAGCGAUCCUUGUAUCUGUCUAAGCUACCAUCAACCUUACGCUUAUUUUUAUACACCCAUUUACAGUCAGUGAUAUUGUUGCCUUUCUGUGGUGGAACUAAAUGCCAAGUCUUAUUUCAAAGUAAAGCAUCAUAUUAUAUAUCCAUUGCAUGUUUCCAGUUUGCAUCUCCUAAAGCCUUUGAAGUAUUUUGUAGCUCACCAAUAGAAGUAAAGAAUCCAUACCGAACUGUACCGUCAGUAUACACCUUGGGUUUGCAUAUCCUAUCUCAAAGGUGAGUAUGUGGUCGUCGAUGUGGUUCUGCUAGUUCAGACGGAGCUGCCGCAGAAGAUCCAAUUUCGGCUCCCCUAGGAUUCGAGGCAGAUCCGGCAGGUGGAGCUAUAGCAGGAUCCGCCGCUGAUGCACGCGCUGUCGGGAGGUCACCCGACCGCCUGUCGGGUGAAGGUGGUGUGGCAGUGCCGGAGAGGCCACGCUCAGGCGAGGCAACAGGGUGCCCUCGCCACACGUCGUACAAAGAUGGGAGGUGCACGCCCAUCGGUGAUGGAGGAGUGCGGCCUGCCGCAUUGGGAUCCGCCUAGCGCAGCCCAUGAUCCGAGGUAGAUCCCAUUCACUGCUACAUGGCACGGAGUGAAUCUCCUCCGGCACCUGAGCCUAGAAGGGUGCUGUAAUUUGAUGUACCACUGGUAGUAUGGAUCUGGUCAUUGCCGGAGUACUUCUCCCUCAUCGCCAACUUCUCCAAAUCUCUCAUGAUGUGGUCAGUAGCACCGGUAUCCAUGUAGGUAGCAGCCGCGACAUUCUUCAGGUCUGGCACAUAGUUUUCAUCAAACCUAUGCCAGUAUCUAUCAGUUGUGUGUCCCCUCUUGAGGCACACCUGACAUAGUGAGCAUUCGGUGGAGUUGUUGUUGAAGUGCUGGUUGGAGUUGUUGCUGUUGUUGGGUGGACGCGAGUUGGUGUUGUUCAUGGUGCCUCCUCCCUAGCCACGACCAAAGCCUCCACGGCCAUGGUUGUUGGAGCCGCCACCACAACGUCCUCGGUUGCCCUUCCCUCCACGGUUUGCCAUGUUGGCAGAUGAACUGGAGGAAGAGUGGCCACUGUGGAGCUCCAUCCUGGUUUCAAAAGCAAGAAGCUGCAAAUACACUUCACUUACCGAGGGCGCAUCUAAUCUUGCAACAAGAGCAGACACAAUGGGGUUGAAGUCGUGAUCAAGCCUAGUGAGGAUGUGCUCGAUGAGUUCCUCUUUUUCCACCGGUCUUCUAGCGGUGACCAUCUCGUCACCUAGGGCCUUCAUCUUCCCAACGUACUCCGCGACCGUCAUGGAUCCCUCCUAGGUGGUCGCAAGAGCUAGGCGCGUGUUCACCGCAUGAGUUUGGGUGCGUGAUGAGAACAUGUCUUCAAUCAUCUUCCAGGCUUGAGCUGCUGUCUCCAUCGCAGCUAUCUGUCCCAGCACAUCCUUGCACACGGAGGUGAGUAGAAAACCAAGGACUUGCUGGUCCGAGGUAUACCACUCAUCCCAUGCCGGAUUUGGGAUCUUGACAUCUUUGCCGGCGGCAUCCUUCCCACCAGUUUCAGCAGGAGGUGCAGCCUUGGCACCGGUGAGGUACCCUUGGAGACGUUCUCCACGGAGGGUUGCAAGGACCUGGGCCCUCCAUGUGGCGUAGUUGAGCCUGGCGAGCUUCUCUGUCAUGCUCUGGCCAGACAAGGGAUUCAUGGCAGCUCUGGAGGAUGAAGCCAUGGCUUGAGGUGGAUUGGAUCUAAGGAAAGUUGGCUCUGAUUAGCAUAAAAGAACUUAGAGGUGCGAAAGAACUUUGGUGGAACGGCACACCUUUUCCGUGCGUCAGCUACAUGUUUAUAUAGGAAAAUCCCCUCGCAUGGAGUUACAAUCGGAUCACAAAUUGGUUGGGAUCGACACUACCUUGGAGUCCAAGCCAAAUACAAAAUCUAUCUAUUGUUACAGGAAACAAACCUUUACAAAUAAACCUCUACAGAUAAGUCGAUCCCAAUCUCAACUAAUCACCUAAAACAAUACAGUGUCAAUAUCUCUUAGAUACUUCUAAUAGUAUUCGGGUUGAUUUAUAACAAGAGCAUAUUGAGUUUGAAUGCCUAGCAAAUUUACACCGUUAGCGUAUUGAAAGGCGUUGUUUUAGCUAUCGAUAACUAGACCUAGGAAGCCUUCUAUCAUUAGCAAAACCUAGAAAUUAUUUCCUCAAUUCGCAACAAAAUCAAGAAGCAGAGGAACCCAACACAGUAGGAGGAGAGUAGCCAAGGGCCAGCCAGCGCAACAGACCUGCAUGGGUAGCGCGUCCAUGUCCACCCGGAGCACGACGAAGGGUGGGCCCCUGGUGCCGAUCGUCGCGACCACCCCGGUGAUGGCGAUGGGGUGCCUGUAGGGGAUCCCCAUGGUGUUGAGCUCCCAGCGCAUGAGCUCGCUAGUCUUGAACUCCUCGUAGCCCAGCUUAGGGUUCUUGUGAAUCCGCCGCCGCACCCCGACUAUCCAGUCCAGGAAUGCCGGCUCCUUCGCCCGCCGCAGCAGCUCCGCAGGGUCCUCCAGCGCCGCCGCCGCUGAAGUCCAGACCACUGUGGAGGCGACGGUGAGGGUGGCAAGCAGGAGAGGCGCCACCGUGGAGGCUAUUGUGCUACUUGCUGGUUCGCUUCAGUUGAUGACUGAUGAGGUAGCUUCGCUUUUGAUGAGGGCGGCGGUUGAUUUCCUUUUUCUUUUUCCUCCCAACUUUUUUCCUUCCCAGUCACUAAAAAAACCUUUUUCCGUCCCAUUUCCAGCCCCGUGCAACUUCCUUCCUAUUUCCAGCCCCGUGUAGCUUGUGACUCUGCUGACUGCUUGGCUAAAAAUCAGGUAUGUUUAGCUUCAUUCGGGGUGAUGAGAUUUUUUUAUUUUUAACCCCAAUUUUAUUUGCACAGUGUGAUCCUUUUGAUCGCGCCGUGCGCCGUGGCGAAGCAGUUAGCUGCUGCCGCGCCACAUGCACUGGCACUAGGUUUAGGAUUUCAUUUUGAAUUUUUCAUGAUUUAUAAGUUUGUUAUGUAGUAAUGGAUGCUUAGUUUAUACGCAGUCGACUCUCUGCCCAUAAUUUUAACGUGUAGAAGUAGUUGCAUGCAUCGAUUUAUAUAGUUGUUGAUGUAUUUGUGUGGUGUACAUGGCAUGUGUAGGUUUAUUUGUUUAUUAUGUCAAAUUAAUGUAGUUUAUUAUUGUUGUUUGUAGUAAAUGACCUAUAUUUGGUAUGUUAAAAUCUUUGCAUUUUGUAAAUGGAUCGUUUAGUUCGUAUGUUUCAUGGUGGGAUUAUGAAAGAGAAUGGGGAGUUUGAGAAUAUGAAUGAGGUAGUGGAGUUGUUCGAUGCUUGUCCAAGUUUUAAAGAUUUAGUUGACCGUGUAAUGACAAAGUAUGGAUGUGGAGUGGAUGAGAUGACAUUGAGAGGCCGUUUUGAUUGUAGGAAAGCUAGACCUCAUUAUGUUCUCAUGAAUUUGGCAUGCGAGUCUAAUUGAAAGCAAUAGAAGGAGGUAGUUGAGCAUGCAAAUGUUGUAUGUUUGGACGUGGUAGUUGAUAUUUGUCGUAGGCCUAGCACAAAUGUUGCCUUGAGAGAUGAACUCCAGAAAGUGGUUGAGAAUGGUACCCAAGAGUCAACAAUUUUACAGCAUGGCUUAGGUAAAAGCCAAUCUGAUUUUGGCUUGGCCAUUGGAAUGAUGAUUUUCCUAAUGAUACUUUUGAGCGGGAAGAAGCAAACAUAGAUGAUGAUGACAUAACUCUAGGUUCUGAAGAUGAUGAUGUUGAGGAGGAGGAUGGGGUAGAAGAUAUUCAGGCCAACGCGCAUGAAGAUGUAGUAGUCAGAGAUGGAUUUGAAUGUGAGGAGGAGGAGUCACAAUCUGAGGAGGAUGGGCCUAAAUCUGAGGAGGAGUCAGAAUCUGAGGAGGAUGGGCUGCAAGUCAACACUACAACCGUGCAUGAUAUAGAGGACAUUGGUCGUGUGGACAAAUGUUAUUCUUACACCUCUAAUGAGUUGUAGUUGUUGAAGGAAUGUCAUGUCGAACUCCUGUCCGUUCCCAAUACUAAGGACAUAAGCAUGGUCCGAAAAGUCUUAUUGAAUCUACUAUGGUGAAUUCGGAAGGAAUAAGCUAUAGUGAGAAUCCAGUGAUUAAGAAGGGAAUGAAGUUCAACAGUCUUAAGGAGCUCAAGUUUUUCUUGGAUGACUACGUAGUGAGGUUACAUAAGCCUUUCAGUGUAGUUCACUCUGACAAGAACCUAAGGUAUGAUGUCAUGUGCAAGCAAGGAUGCAUGUGGCAUGUAUGGUCCCACCUCAUUAGAAGCACGGGACAAUGGAGGAUUUCAAUGGUUGUGCAACAUCAUACUUGCCAUUCUUCUCAGCCGAAGGGAGUGCACACAUAGUGCACAGCUAUGUACCUUGGGCGGCGCAUCCUAGGCAUUGUCCGCGUCGACAGCGAGACAUCAGUGCCAUCUCUUGUGGAGUCCAUAUUUUCCUUUAGUGGAUACCAUGUCAAGUAUUCAAAGGCAAGGUGGGCGAAACAUGCCAUUGCACUACUUUGAGGAGACUGGAAGGAGUCAUAUGGCAUGGUUCCUAGGGUCCUCACCGCUAUGGCCUACUAAUAUCCCGAGAUUAAAUGGUUCCCUCACAUGUCCGGCAUGAUGCAACCUGACGAUGGUGUUUAUAAGCAUGUCCUCCAAAGGGUUUUUUGUGCUUCCCACAAUGUCGUGUAUCUUUCCAACAUUGUCGUCCUGUGAUACUUGUUGAUGCUACAUUCUUGACCGAGAAGUACAAGGGUACACUAAUGAUGGUUGUUGCUGUAGAUCUAGAACAACAGCUUGUGCCUCUAGCUUUUGCCUUGGCCGAGAGUGAGAACAACGACAGUUGGUCAUGGUUCAUGAAACUCGUUCGCCGAUACAUACUUGGACCGUCACGGCAAGUAUGUAUGAUCUUAGAUUGGCACCAUGGCCUCCUAAAUUGUGCGAACGACCAUAUGGAUGGCUUUCCACCACUUGUGCAUAGGUGGUGCAUGAUGCAUUUUGCUGCCAAUAUGUGGCGUCGACAAAAGAACAAGGAAGUGAUUGGAAAGUUGAAGGUUUUAUGCAUCGUACAUACGGAGAAAGAAUUUGAAGAGAAGUUAGAAGACCUAGUGAAGGACUUGAAUGAUGAGGCAAAACAAUGGUUGAAGGGUGAAAUGGAGGAUAAACACAAAUGGGUGUAGGCUUUCGAUGAGGGAGGGAUGCGCUAUAGUAUUAUGGCCACAAAUUAUUCGGAAUCCUUAAACAAUGUUUUCAAAGGCAUCCGAAGUAGACCCGUAGCCGGAAUUAUCGAGUACUCUUUCAAAAAUGCAAUGAGUACUUUGUGGACAGAUGGCGGAAGGUACGUGAUUUGUUGAAUGAAGGUUAUAGGAAUCAUAAGAUUGCAGAUGGUCAUAUAUUAGAUGUUGAGCUAAGGUCUAUUAACCAAUUAGGAGAACUGUACAGGCUAGAAAGAAUGGUAUAUUGUGUAAGAGGUGCUGGUGGUACUAACGUUGGCGGUGAGAGUCAUGGAGGCCGAAACUAUAGAGUGGACCUCAACGAAGGUGCGUGUACCUGCAAGGUUCCUCAACUGUUGCACCUUCCAUGUUCACACUUGAUUACAUCUUGCAAGGUUAGAGGUCUUAACUUUGAAAGCCCCACGUAUAUGUCACCAUUGUACUAUAGGGAACACACCAUUAAAAUUUGGAAAUCUAGCUUUGAACCGUACCUUGAUCCUUUCCAAUGGCCGCCAUAUGAAAGUCUAGAGUACAUGCCCGACUCCGCUUCGAAGAGAGACAAAAAUGAUAGGAGGCAGAAGAAGCAUUUUAAAGGCGACAUGGACGAGUUGCAAGGGAGGUUUUUAGUUGAUGCCGAGUCAGAUAAUCGUUGCUCCAAGUGCCACAAGUUCAUUAGGGACUGUACAUGCCGUAAGAAGAAAUCUAAGGGGGAAAAAGAAAGCAAGCGUUCUUGCAAUGCUUAUGUAGCAUCAUAGACACUACCUAUAGACAUCAUAGGUUGGGACUGCCCUUAGUGGCCAUCUGGAUCCUCUCCUGGCGACCUAUCUGGUCGGGCCCAUCAUUAGCAAUUUGUUGAAAGGUAUUUAAGGUUUAAGCUGCACGAUGGCUGUGAGCAAUUUGUUGAAUUCAAUAUUUAUGGGGGUUGAUUAAAAGAUUGCAGGGUGAGCAACGAAGGUUGAGAAAAUCCAUGUAGAGUGAGAGAUGUGCUGCGUGAUGAUGAAUUAGUUCGCAGUAGAGGUUAAGGCCGAAUAUGGGAGAGGGCCCAAUCCAUCAAUAAUGUGUAUCAAUAUUCCUUGUUUACCAAAUUUGUUAUACAUAUAUUAUCAUUUCCCGUAUCAACGGAUGAUCGAAAUUAUUUUCAGAAGUACCCUGCAAAAGAACUAUAACACACCUCACAUAUAUCAAAUUAAUUCCUUUGAAACAAUUUCAAUCUAUUGUAAACUAGACAGAUCCUUGCAAGAGGCAAUGAGAGAAUUAAUCAAGUUGUUUUUCCACAAUGAUCAAUGAUGACUAAAUGGGAAAUUCUUGCAUGCUGAGGGAUAAAGGAGGUUUAGCAAUCUGUGUAAUAAAUGCUUGCAUAGUAAGUGGUUAUUUAAACUUAUUAAUGAAGAUAGAUUAAGGAAAACCUAAGGAGGUUUGGAACAAUUACACGAGUUGAAAAUAUACCUAGAGUUUCUAAUUUUUGGUCUGGCCUUAUGAAGGUUAAAAAAGACUUUUUGAGCACGAGCUGAUUCAACUUAGGUGAUGAGACUUAGAGAAAAUUUUGAGAGGAUGUCUAGUUCAGUUGUAUGGCUCUUAAAGGUCAAUAACUAGAAAAUAUGCGCGGCAUUACCGCGCUUGCAGCUUUUUUUUUUUUGUCUUAGAUGACCCGUACCAAAGGUGCAUGUAUCCAAGCAUAUCAAAUUGAAUUUGAAUGAAGAUGUGCCUCAGUUUAUAUUUGGUCAAGCCAUAGUAAUUUGAUCAAGUGCCUGAAGAGCUCGAACCUCAAUUUUUUUUUUCAUCUCAAUGUAUAAAAAACCAUAGUAAUUUGUUUCAUAUAUAUUCAGACAUUUUUCAUCCUUGAUGUCAAAAUCGCAUGAAUCCUCAGCAUGUCACCAUGGGGCAUGGGCCACUGCAUGUCUGUACCUUACAGGAUGUGUUCGCUGAACUUAAGGCCAUUGCUGCAUAAACAAUGAUGACAGCCCGAAAAAAACGACGAAUGAAGCUUGAAAAAUAUUCCUUUGCAUAUCAAAUUGUAAAAAAAGGCAGUUCCUGCAUAAACAACGAUGAAAAAAAUGAUGAAUGAAACAUGAAAAAUAUUCCUUUGCCAUCUUUGUAGCACAAAUGCUCGAAUAUAACAAUACAAGUCACAUCUUUAAAACGAUAUAAUGAAACUUUCAUAUGGAGUGAGUGAAGUUCAUCCUUAUGUUUCAAGAUUUUAGGAAUAGUUGGCUGAGGGAGAAUAAGUAAAAUGCUAGUUACAUUCCCGAUACUGUUAUGUACCAUGACAUUUGAAACUAAAUUGUAUAGGUGGCUAAUAUGAUCUUUGCCUGCUCCAAAAGGGUCCUAAGAUCUUCGAUGGGAUAAACAUGUUUGCAAGUCCCAAUUUGCAAUUAUUACCUCAGUUGUUAGAUUCAAACAAUUUUUUAUUAUAUGAAAGAGCUAUUAUGUCACUUCUCAUAGAAUUUGCAACCAAUUUUGGGAAUAAUGUUAUUUUAUACACCCUUUUAAAAUACUAAAGCAGUUCUGUGAUUGCCAGUGUCAAAAUUGUACAAAGUAGUCAGCUUUUGUUGAGCCUUGUACAUUGAGAUAAAAAAAAUUGAGGUUCGAGCUCUUCAGACACAUUGUAGGCUGUUGAGAAAAGGUAGUUUCCUUCAUUAAUAAAUAAUAAUGGAACUGGGUGAACUUGAUCAAGCAGUAGGGCAUAUAUAUUGCAGACAGUAAGGCCUUAUUUCUGCUUUUUAUUUUCAGUAUUAGUGUCACAUAAAUCUGAUCGGCCAGUAGGACAUAAAUAUUGCACUUGCAGGUAGUACAACAUUAUUUCUCCCUUUUAUUUUCAAUACGGAUGUUGCAUAAACAAUCACAAGAGAAUUGCUAGAUUAGUCAUUAUAGCUGAUGGCAAAAGUUAGUUUAUGUAAAAUCUGUUGAGAAUUUCGUCGUGCAAAACACAAUGAGAAAUAAUUUCACCUGUUGAUGGUACGCAGAAGUUUAACUGAGCUUUUCCGUAUUCAGGGUCUUCUGGAAAGUUGGUACACCUAACUUGUGUUAACUGUAUAUAUGGAAUAUUUGGGUUCAAAUUAGCAAUACUUGUGUUAAAUAACUGCCUUUCCUGGAGGAGCUGCUUGACUGACAGAUAGUAGCACCCCAGUCUAUUUGUUAUUUAGUAGAGUAAUACUAUUUGUCUUUGAAAGAAUUUCUUUUUAUGGUUGAGUCCCUUAUCACUUAUGUAUUAUUAAAUACUAAUGAUGUUGUUUUCUAGCUGUUCAGUUUCAAGUUAGGAAGGAUAAGUACGAUAAUAUGUAGGCCAGCUAAGUGUUGUUGGUUUAAUUUCUAGCAUUUAUAAAAUUAGAAACUGAAUAUCGCAUUUGUCUUCCAGCAUCUACCAUUAGGCUAGAAGAUAAGCCUUUGAGGAUAGACUAAUUUUUUUGUAAAAUGCAACUUAUUUCGUACCUCUAUUAUAUUUCUUUUCAGCUAGUAGGUGGUAACCUGUUGAAGAGUGCAGAUUGCCAGUGUAAAUACCUCUGCUCUCAAAAGUUCAAGCUUGUGUGAAACAUGGGAUCCUUUUUGGCCUACUGAUGGAAUUUGAGGGAAAAUCAGGCACCUCCAGCUUGCCAUUGUUGACUCCACAAUGUUGCUCCAGCACUCAGUAUGCAGGACACAUAGCUCCCUAGGCACUGUACAAAAUACAUGGCAGUUAUGUAGAUGCAGUAGAUUCACACAUCACCAAAUCAGGUGGACUAAAUUGUAGUGGCGACCAGUUGCCCUAUUAUGGUGAUGAACAGGAUAUUUUGUGGCAGUUCUGAGUACAAACCUGAGCUGGAGAAGUUGCUCUUGGCUUCUUCUCGUCUCAAAACUGCUUGUUGUGCAGUGUCUAACCUCGUUGCCACCAGCUCAAUGCAGCCAUCACUAUUGCAAGCGACUGAAUGUUGUGCAGCCAGAAAAAUGGAUGCUACUGACGCCUGAUCUUGUGUCCCUGGGCUCCGGCAAGGAGCGCGGGUCAGAAAUAACAUCGAACAUGUGGUGUGCUCCGUGGCAAUUGGGUUGAGAUCGACGGUCUGAGAAAGAAGCAAUGAACGUGAAGCAGGUUGGAGGCAACAUAGCACGUCUUGUGUUCUUUUUUGUACUCACGCUGAUGCCGAUCAUGCUGGUUCCUGUGCUACAUCUCGUCACCGUCAAUGCGUAGCAUUCGCCUCCGUCGUGGCAUCAAGGGCAUUCCACCGAACACCUCAUAAGUGCCAUCAUGUGAGAACAAUGAAGAAGGAACCCGCCCCACUACUUCUUGACCCCUGCGGCCCUCCUGGCCGAGCACGAGCUGGCCUCGACCACUGUCGAGGGGCUAGGCAGCAGGCACCAAGCAGAAAGGAGGCGGGAUGCAGGCGCGCUGCGGGCACAGGGGUGGGCUCUAGGUGCGACGCGGCGGGAGCGGGGCCGGGCUAUGAUGUAUCUGGUGGUACUAGUUUGGUAUUAUAAUUUAUAAGUAUUAACACUUUUUCAUAUGAGCUUGGUCAAACUUAAGUUACAUUGACUCUCUGACCAAUCCUAGAGGUAGACUGUUUGUGGAAUGGAGGGAAUGUUUGAUAUUGUGUCGGUAUGCAAAAUAGUACUAAUUGUUAAGAGAGGAUGUUCUAUUAUGUGAAUUAAUUGAUGCUAUAACAUUGAUGCCUGCGAUAGAAAUGACAGCCAAGAGGUGAUAGAUGAUUUAGCUAAAGUCAAGAGGAUCUGCGUAUGGAAAGCAAUUAUUGGCAGGCAAUCAACGGGGACACGUUUUAGAAGGGCAUAUUUGACCAUUUACUAUUCUUCUUAAUCUGUAUGAAAAAAGCUAAACGUAGCUAUAUUUUUGGACGGAAGGAGUAUAUGAUGAGGAUGGAUCCUUCGAGCAGGAAAAAUUAACUGGUACUCCCUCUCUAUCUCUAGAUAUAAAGGAUUUUGGUACUCCCUCUCUAUCUCUAGAUAUAAAGGAUUUUGAGUUUGUUCAAAGUCAAACACUCUCAACUUUGACUGUCUAAUGAAAUAUUUACAGACAUUAACAAAGUCUAAAUUAUAUUAUUAGAUUCAUGGUAGAAGCAAGUAUCAUAAUAUAAGUAUCAUAAUAUGUAACUUUUUUUAUUUAAAAUAUUUUAUUUUUAUAGACAUUGUUAAUAAAAGAAGUUUGACUUUACAAAACCUAGAAUCCCUUAUAUUUAGGGAUAGAGGGAGCAGUUCAAAAAGAAAAAAAAAAGACUGGCAAGCGGUAGCAUUGGAAACCACCCGCGGCAGCCGGCAGGCCUGGCGCACAAGAGAGCCCAAACGACCUGGUGCUGCUGCUCUUGUAAGGCCCAAACAUAAAUGGUACCAUCAGAAGUGCACAAUCGCUACACUGAUGGAAGAAAACAAACAAAAAACAAGAAAACGACUCCUAUCCGCAGACUUUAUCGCCUUCGGUGUUGUUCCUAGAGCACGGUUGACUCCUUGUGUCCAUUAUUCCACCGUAUCAGGUAUCGGACAAAACUCGAGCAUAUGCUAAUCUAAUGAUGCAGCAUCCAAGAUGCCGCCGAGCUCGAAUUUAGGUUUACACCUCGAGAGUCAUGAUCGCAGAGAUGGGUUCGAUGACAACACCUCCAAAGAGGUGCAUGGCGUCCAACGACGACAUCGUCGUCGGCACCGGCAAACGCCGACUAGGCUUUCUCCAUUGAUCCGAGCCCGUCAACCAAACCCCAUGGGAGGCAUCCAUGAGAACCACCAACUCGGUAUCAACGGCAUUGGAACCCACCACUGCUGGGAAAAGCGCCUUUAGUACCGGUUCCUAACCCCCUUCGGUAUCGGUUGUGCAACCGGUAUUGCUACUUAGGUCCUAAAGAGGAUUUUUAGUUUUGGAUCAAAUAACCGGUACUAAAGGGGUAUUAAAAAAUAAUAAAAAAAAGAAAUCCGCCGACCGGAUCCUCAGCCGCACCAUGCCGCCGUCCACCCGAGCACCGGAGCCUCAGCCGCACCACGCCACCGUCCGCCAGAGCGCCGGAGCCUCGGCUGCACCCCGCCGCCAUCCGCUAGAGCGUCGGAGCUCCAGCCGCACAGCACCUGAGCCCCGUACCAGAGAGAGGGAGGGAGGAAGGUGGCGUACUUACGCUGCUCAGCCAGCGCCGUCGGUUGUCGCCGCUGCCGGAUCUGAGUGAGAGGUGGCCGCUCCUUGCUCCGCCACGCCUGCUGAUGCUCUGCCACCGCGCCCUCCCACCGGAGCUCCGCCGCUCCUUGCCCCACCAUCGCUCCUUGCUCCGCCACGCCUUGCCGACGGUCUGCCGCCUCACCGCACCCUCCGUUCUUGCCUCCGCCACUCCUUGCCCCGCCGCCGCUCGUCGCCACAUGUAAGAGGUGAGGGGCAAACGGAGGAGGAAGGAGAGGAUUGGCGACAGGAGGGGUGGCGAGGGGAUCAAUCUAUGUAGGGGAGAGAGGGCGGGGAGAAGAAGAGAGAGACACGCGGGCGAGAGGUCGGAUGAGGGGGAUGAGCGGAUAAGUACGUGUGGGGAGGGGGUGAGCGUGGGGGAGGUUCCCCUAGUACCGGGUGGAGCCUUCAUGCGGUACUAAAUGUCACCCUUUAGUACCGAGUGAAGCCUUCACCUAGUACUAAAGGCCCUCAGGCACAUUAGUACCGGUUGGGGGCUUCAACCGGUACUAAUGGGUGACCUUUAGUUCUAGGUCAAAUAACCGGUACUAAAAGGGUAUUAAAAAUAAGAAAAAAAUAAAUUCGCUAAUCGGAUCCUCAGCUACACCCCGCCACCGUCCGCCAGAGCGUCGGAGCCUCGGGCGCACCCCGCCGCCGUCCGCCCGAGCACUGGAGCCCCGACCGCACAGCACAUGAGCCCCGCACCAGAGAGAGAGGGGGGAAGGGGGAGAGGCGGCAUACUUACACUGCUCAGCCACCGCCGUUGCCGCUCCUCAGCUCGCUGGUUGCCACCACCGUUGAAUCUGAGGGAGAGGUGGCCGCUCCUUGCUCUACCGUGCCAGCCGACACUCCGACACCACGCCCUUCCGUUGGAGCUCCGCCGCUCCUUGCCUCGCCGCCGCUCCUUGCUCCGCCACGCCUCGCCGAUGCUCCGCCACCUUGCCGCACUCUCCGUUCUUGCCUCCGCCACUCCUUGUCCUGCCUCCGCUCGUCGCCACAUGUAAGAGGAGAGGGGUGGCGAUGGGAGGGGCGGUGAGGGGAUCGAUCUGUGGGGGGGAGAGAGGGCGGGGAGAAGAAGAGAGAGAGGCACGGGUGAGAGGCCGGAUGAGGGGGACGAGCGCAUAAGUACGUGUGGGGAGGGGGGUGAGCGUGGGGGGAGGUUCCCCUUUAGUACUGGGUGGAGGCUGCAUCCGGUACUAAAGUCACCCUUUAGUACCGGGUGAAGGCUUCACUCAGUACUAAAGGUCCUCAGGUCAUGGAGGCUUCAACCGGUACUAAUGGGUGAUCUUCCUACGUCGCUUUGAGGUUAACUUUGGGGAAUAUAUUGCUGUGAUUUAAUAACGUCACGGGAGGUCAGACAUAAAUGAGACCAUCCGUUUGACAAGGAGAGCAAUUGAGGCUUUGGAUUUCGUCAAGAGUGGAUGGAUAAGCAAUAUUAGACAAUUGCUUAUAAUUAUUCUCUUCUGAUGUACUCUUCCUCCUUUUAUUUAUUCUUUUAAUGAUCAACUAUUGAGCUGAAGAAUGUGUAAGAACUUAGCUGUGUGCGUUUAUUGCAGAGGCCGGAUGUAUUUCUAUUUUCUAAAAAAAAAUCCACCACGCCAGCAACGCACCAGCAGAUGCUUCUUGUGCAUCGCCUCAUCUGACUGAACCAUACAGAAACGCAUACCACACGGUAUUCUUCUGUAUACGAUUAUCUCUGUACUAUAUCAACUACAAACUGUUCUGCAUUCCCGUGCGUAACCCUGCACCGACGUCGUCGGCGCCGCCGUGUUUUGGCUGUUGUCCCUGGCGAAGAACCCACCCCGGCUUGGACGGGGCCUGGAGGCUGAUCGUGUCGGUGCCGAGCAUCAUCACCACCGAAGACAGCACUGGCCGGGCCGCCGGAUCUCCCUGGACGCACAACAACCCAAUAUGGAAGCAUCUCAACACGUCGCCCUCCGGGAAGCUGCCGUUCAUGGACGGGUCUACCAACUCCAUCACCGUCCCGGCCUCCCAAUGCUCCCAAACCUGCACGGUGGCUUGUAUACAUGAGCCAAACUGUACCAUUACAACAAUAUAAUGGUGAUCAGAUGUUUAUCAGUUCGCGCUUACAGUGUUCAAGAGAUCUCCAGAUUGUUUUGAGUUGUUCCUCCCCGUGACGAUCUCCAGCACCAUGACGCCGAAGCUGAAGGCGUCCGACUUCACCGAGUAGUUCCCGCGCAUCACGUACUCUGGCGCCAUGUACCCACUGAAGCGAGAAACCAAGCAAAAUUUCAGUGACCUUUUCCUUAAGAUAUAUACGCUGAACCUGAACAGAGGUAAAACAGAGUUUUGGUGGUGCUUACUAGGUUCCGACGAUUUGGCUUGUGUUUGCCUGCGUCUGGUCUCGGUCGAAGAUCCUUGCAAGGCCGAAGUCCGAGAUCUUGGGGUUCAUGUUCGCGUCUAACAGGAUGUUGCUAGCCUUGAGAUCACGGUGGACAACUUUGAGCUGCGAGUCCUCAUGGAGGUACUGCAGGCCUCGAGCGAUGCCAUUUAUGAUCCUGUACCUCUGCCUCCAGUCCAGCUGCUCAUGGUUCUCAUUCUGAGUGUCUGACAUGAACAUACAGGAAGUAGGAGUGAUCAAAUGAUGUGAUGGAUACAGAACUUGCCGAGAAAAUGAAGAAGAAAAUUGCAUGGGUCGGGCAAGGUUAAAGCAGUACCGAAGAGGAUCAGGUCGAGGCUCCGGUUGGGGACAUACUCGUAGACGAGCAGUCUCUCCUGCUGCUCAAGGCAGACGCCGACAAGCAUGACGAGGUUCUUGUGCUUCAGUUUGGCCACCAGCGCGAGCUCGUUCUUCAGCUCGUCCUCUCCCUGCGUCGAGCUGUCCGACAGCCGCUUCACUGCUAUCUCGUCGCCGUCGGGGAGGAUACCCUGAACAAAUCAAAGCAACGUAAUAAGCUUCAAUUCAUGGGCAUAUUUUUCAGUUCAGAAAUUCACAAGCCAUGCCUAAUUACUUGUUCAGUAGUUCAGUACCUUGUACACCGCGCCGAACCCGCCUUCGCCGAGCUUGUUGCUCUCGUCGAAAUCUCCGGUCGCCGUUCGCAGGGUGGAGACGUCCAUCAUCAUGGAGUCCACCAUUUCCACAUCCUCUGCUUGAUCUGCUCAAGAAUCAAUGGGACAAGUCAUUUUUUUUCAUGUUUUCAGGAAGCGUGUCGCGCUAUGAGACCAGAGAAUUUUGCAGGAACAUACAUGGCUUCUUCGCUUCCGCAGUUGGUCGCCGCCGCUGCCGCUGCCGCCGCCUCCAGAAACAGAGGCAGGCGACGAGGUUCAAGGCUGCUAGCACAGCCAGCACAACGGCAAGAACAAUACCCGGCACAUUGUAGUUUCUCCUCCCUGUAAAUUAUUGAAUAUGUAAGAAAACAUCACGGCAGUUAAGUGUCACAAACGUAGUUGUAACAGAAAACAGAACAUAUAAACAUAAUAAGUUUCUCCUAAGUGUUACAGAUCUUUUCAUCGCAAACCGAUGGUGGAAAUCGGAAUCGGCGAAAUGAUCCUUAGUGCGGGACAGAUGGUUAUGAAAGUGAUGUCCAAGAGUAGUUGAAAGAUGCAUAAUUUUCAUGUGAUUAAUCAAUCAACACUUACGCACGCGCGCACUAAACAAGAAUCCGUCACUAAAUAAUUUCGAUUCAGACAUUCAGUCUGUACGCGGUCCAUCAGCUUGGACCGUGUGAGAAGUUGCUAUGGCAGUCAAAAGACCGUGUUAGAAGUUGCUUUGACUCACCUUCACCGGCUGCUGGCGGCGUCUCCACGGCCGGUCCCGGCGCCGGCGCUCCAGCGCCCGGUGAUGGCAGCCGCACCAUCGCCGGACCACUGUAGAAGGGCGCGGUCUCGAACCGGUAGGUGCAGUUCACCCAAAGCACCCUGCCUCCGAUAGAGUUCAGGAACCUCGGCAAGCCGUCCGCUAUAAUCCCGGCGAGGCACUUCCGGCAGAGCGCCGGCGGCUGGUCCGGCGGGCACUGCGCCAGGCUGUACACCUUGGGGAAGUUCUUGUCGAAGAAGUCGGCCUGCCCGGUGGCGAACCGCCGCGUGGAGUUGAACGCGGCGUAGUCGGCGGUGGCGUUGAGGAGCGCCGCCAGGAGGGCGUUGAACCGGGGCUGGUCGGAGGUGACGUUGCCGUUGUUGGUGACGCCGUACGCGUCGGUGAUCGGGCCGGUGUCGUCGUCGCCGGCGAGGGUGUGCACGUCGGAGUAGUGGAGCGUGCAGGGGUCGUAGUAGAUGGUGGCGUCCUUGUUGUAGGGGCAGUCGUUCUGCACGUCGCGGAACGCCUGCGCGAGGCAGCUGCCGCAGGCCGUCGCGUUGGCGUCGCCGCGGCAGAGCGCCAUGGCCCAGACCUGCUCCGGCACGGCGCCGACGACAGCGGUGGCGUAGAGGUUCGGCGACGCUGAGGCGUUACCGGGCAGCAUGGCGGCGAGGCGGUUGAGGUUGGCCUGGUACGUGCUCUUGGCCGCGAAGGCGUUCGUCGUGCCGCACACCUGCCAUGGGUAGCCCGCGGCGAAGGGCGCAAACAGCGCGACGGCGGCGACGAUGGUGACCACGGCCACGAAGAGGUGGGGACCCAUGGCGCGCACACGGUGAGCAGAAGGGGGGGAGUCAGGAGCGAGUCAGCUUAUGUAGACGUUGAGGGUGUAUUUGUUACUGGGUCGACAUGGGUCGGAAUGGGUUCAACCCCAUCAUCCUAUGUUUGGUUGGAAAUGGAGUGGGUUGGGUCCGACCCCCCUAGAUGCAAGUCGAACGCAUCUGCCCGAAACGAGCGAACGCCCUCGAUCCGCACGGAUGCUGUGUGCGUCCAUCCGCGCGCGCGGGAAGGAGCCGGCCAGGCACGGGGGCGGCGAGGCAGUGGCGGGGAGGAGGCGGCUUGGCGCGGGGGCGGCGGCCGGCGCCGGGCGGCGAGGAGGCGGCCGGGGAGGAGGGAGCCGGCGCCGGGGUAGAGAGGACGGAGCGGGUGUCGCCGGCGGAGGGACGGAGCGGGUGUCGCCGGCGGAGGGACGGAGCGGGCAGAGGAUGAAGAAGAUGGCGUGGGAAAAAAAUGAUGACAUGUGGGCCCCGCAGCUGAUAGGUGGGAUCCGUUACUAAUGGUGUUAAAAUACCUUCCAUUCCAACCUUCUUCAAUCCCUCCAACAAAACAAAAAACUGGGUCGAAUCCAUCGCUCUCAUCCAAACACGAGAUGGGUCGACUCCAACCCACAAAAGGGGUUGGUUCCAACCCAACCCACAUCAUUCCAAAAUCAAACACAUGUUGAGUAAAUUAGUCUUCGCGAACAUCCCACCCGGCAACUGGCAGUGCAAGUUGUAUGCUUUCUGUCUGGUUUUCUCCAUCUGGGCUAUGAGUACCAGGCUGGAUUUAAGGUAAGGGCAUUCCGUUUUAAUUUUAAAGCAGCUUAAGGUGGCCUUUUAUGCUUUAAUAACAACUCCUAUACAAAGUUGAAAAAGUGAAUGAGAUGUCGUUUCUCUAAACAGGUGAUCCUUACUUCUUAAUGUAAACUAAAAUUAAAGUGGCCCACAUCUUUGCACUGUUACUGUUUGUAUAAAAAAAUCUGACUAUAUGUAAUGUUGCAUUAUGUUAAUUAGUUGUCUCAUCAAUCUAUGUUUGCCUUAUCAUCUUUUUUUAUAUCAUUAUUAUGCCUUUUCAUGUAUCUCAUGUUUGUUUUCCAUCUACGUAUACCCAGGAGCUAUAGUCAAAUAUUUUUUAGAUUCAGCUCUGUACUGUAAUGGCACUGAUUGUGGGAAUUAUUCCGUAACGAUAAUGAUGGGUAAUUAGACUACCGAAGUGACGAGCUUGAUAUGAUCCAAAUUCGAGCUUCGUCGAUAACCCCGGGGGUACUGUUCAAACCUAGAAACUCUAGCUCUAGCUAGUACUGUACGACUACUGUGUUCACGUCAGGAUCAUUCUUAGACUCCAGGGCACCCGGCUUGAGCUCUUAUUUGGUUGGGUCAGCCGGUCAACUGUGGAAGGAAAGGAAGUCGCAGAAGGUGGCUUGGAGCUUCCUUCGCCGUGCGUCGUUCGUUUCUCGCCGUCAUCCCCACAGGAAAACAAUUGGCACCUAAUAAAUUGCGGCAACUUGGCGCACGAGGUUUGUCAAGACAUGGAGGAAAAAAAAAAAG
rnacentral:lncRNA from 1 species